UGUUUUUUGUUUUUGUUCCUGUUUAGUAAUAAUUCUUGCAUCUACUCUAUAUUUAGACGUGUUUUUAUCUUUUAAUUAGUGUUUGUGCCAAGUAGAACCUAUAGGGUAAACUAUGAUGAUAGUUGAUUUGAUUCUGCUGAAAAACAGAAACUUUGCGCUCACGAGAAAAAAUUCAAUAAACCACAGAAAUGUGAUUUUGCAUUGAUUCUUUUUUAUGCUGAUCAAUAGAAAAAAUUCCCAGUACGUCCUAUUUUGGUAGGAUUUUUAGAGUUCCAGAAGUUUGCGUUAGUUACAGAUUGCUACAGACUGUUCUGUUUUUGACAGAUUCUGUUUUUCAUGUGUUGUUUGCUUAUUUUGAUGCAUCUAUGGCUAGUAAAAUAGUUUAUAAACCAUAGAGAAGUUGGAAUACAGUAGGUUUAACACCAAAAUAAAUAAAGAAUGAGUUCAUUGCAGUACCUUAUGUGGUGAUUUUGUUUUCUUUCACUAACGGAGCUUAUAAGAUUUCCUGUUGAGUUUUGUGUUGUGAAGUUUUCAAGUUUUGGGUAAAGCUUUGAUGGACUAUGGAAUAAGGAGUGGCAAGAGCCUAAGCUUGGGGAUGCCCAUGGCACCCCAAGAUAUUCAAGGAUAGCCAAAAGCCUAAGCUUGGGGAAGCCCCGGGAAGGCAUCCCCUCUUUCGUCUUCGUUCAUUGGUAACUUUACUUGGAGCUAUAUUUUUAUUCGCCACACGAUAUGUGUUUUGCUUGGAGCAUCGUGUAUUAUAUUAGUCUUUGCUUUUUAGUUUACCACAAUCAUCCUUGCUGUACAGACCUUUUGGGAGAAGCCUACUUGAUUAGAAUUUGCUAGAAUACUCUAUGUGCUUCACUUAUAUCUUUUGAGCUUGAUAGUUUUUGCUCUAGUGCUUCAUUUAUAUCUUUUAGAGCACGGUGGUGUCUUAAUUUUGAAGAAAUUUCUAGUCUCAUGCUUCACUUAUAUUAUUUUGAGAGUCUCUUAGAACAGCAUGGUAUUUGCUAUGGUUACAAAGUUGGUCUUAGAAUGAUGAGCAUCCAAGCUGGGUAUAAUAAAAACUGUCAUAGAAAAAGAAUUGGAUGCUAUGAUCAACUUGAUGCUUGAUAAUUGUUUUGAGAUAUAAAGGCAGUAAUGUUAGGGUCAUGCUAGUGGGUAAUUAUGAAAUUGAGAAAUACUUUUGUUGAAGUUGGCAAGUCCCGUAGCAUGCACGUAUGGUAAAAGUUAUGUGACAAAUUUGUUGCAUGAGGUGCUCUUUUGAUUGUCUUCCUUAUGAGUGGCAGUCGGGGACGAGCGAUGGUCUUUUCCUACCAAUCUAUCCCUCUUGGGGCAUGCAUAGUAGUACUUUGCUUCGAGGGCUAAGUAGACUUUUGCGAUAAGUAUAUGAGUUCUUUUUGACUAAUGUGAGUCCAUGGAUAUAUGCACACUCAUCUUUUCACUUUGCUAGCCUUUAUUAAUACCGCGCAACUUCCGCCGGUGUCAUGAACCCUUUAUUUACCUUCCUCAAAACAGCCACCAUACCUGCCUAUUAUGGCAUUUCCAUAGUCAUUCCGAGAUAUAUUGCCAUGCAACUUUCCACCGUUCCGUUUAUUAUGACACAUUCCAUCAUUGUCAUAUUGCUCUUUUGCAUGAUCAUGUAGUUGACAUCGUAUUUGUGGCAAGGCCACCCUCAUAAUUUUCAUACAUGUCGCUCUUGAUUCAUUGCAUAUCCCGAUACACCGCCGGAGACAUUCAUAUAGAGUCAUAUCUUGUUCUAGCUUUGAGUUGUAAUUCUUGAGUUGUAAAUCCAUAUAAGUGUGAUGAUCUUCAUUAUUAGAGCAUUGUCCUAGUGAGGAAAGGAUGAUGAAGGCUAUGAUUCCCCCACAAGUCGGGAUGAGACUUCGGACUUUACAAAAAGAAAAAAGAAAAAAGAAAGAAAAAAGGAGAAAGGCCAAAAAGAAAAAAGAAAAAAAGGCCAAAGAAAAAAAAGAAAAAAAAGAAAAAGAAAAAAAAUGAGAGAAAAAGAUAGAAGGGACAAUGCUACUAUCUCUUUUUCCACACUUGUGCUUCAAAAUAGCACCAUGAUCUUCAUGAUAGAGAGUCUCAUAUGUUGUCACAUUCAUAUACUAAGUGGGAAUUUUUUAUUAUGGAACUUGGCUUGUAUAUUCCAAUGAUGGGCUUCCUCAAAAUUCCCUAGGUCUUCGUGAGCAAGCAAGUUGGAUGCACACCCAUUUAGUUUCUUUUUGUUGAGCUUUCAUAUAUUUAUAGCUCUAGUGCAUCCGUUGCAUGGCAAUCCCUAUUCACUCACAUUGAUAUCUAUUAAUGGGCAUCUCCAUAUAGCCCGUUAAUACGCCUAGUUGAUGUGAGACUAUCUUCUCCCUUUUUGUCCUCACAACCACCAUAUACCACCAUAGUGCUAUGUUCAUGGCUUGCGCUCAUGUAUUGCGUAAGAGUUGAAAAAGCUGAAGCGCGUUAAAAAGUAUGAAACAAUUACUCAGCUCGUCAUUGGGGUUGUGCAUGAUGGGAGUGUUUUGUGUAAUCAAAAUGAAGCACGGCCUAACUAUAUGAUUUUGUAGGGAUAAACUUUCUUUGGCUAUGCUAUUUUGAUAGGACAUGAUUAUUUGUUAGUAUGCUUUGAAGCAUUGUUAUUUUUAUGUUUUAUAAACUUUUAUUUUGAAUCAUUUGGAUCUUAACAUUCAAGUCACUAUAAAGAAAAUUACAUUGAGAAUUAUGCUAGGUAGCAUUCCACAUCAAAAAUUUCUUUUUUAUCAUUUACCUACUCGAGGACGAGCAGGAAUUAAUCUUGGGGAUGCUUGAUACGUCUCCAACGUAUCUAUAAUUUUUUAUUGUUCCAUGCUAUUGUAUUACCCCUUUUGGAUGUUUAUGGGCUUUAUUUUACACAUUUAUAUCAUUUUUGGGACUAACCUACUAACCGGAGGCCCAGCCCGUAUUGCUGUUUUUUUUGCCAUUUCGGUAUUUCGAAGAAAAGGAAUAUCAAACAGAGUCCAAAUGGAAUGAAACCUUCGGGAGCGUGAUUUUUGGAACGAACGUGAUCCAGAGGACUUGGAGUGCAAGCCAAGAAGCAGCCGAGGUGGCCACGAGAUAGGAGGGCGCCCCCUGUCUCGUGGGCCCCUCGGGCGGCCACCCACGUACUUCUUCCUCCUAUAUAUGCCUACGUACCCCGAAAACAUCCAGGGAGCAACCGAAACACAAUUUCCACCGUCGUAACCUUUUGUAUCCGCGAGAUCCCAUCUUGGAGCCUUCGUCGGCGUUCUGCCGGAGGGGGAAUCGACCAUGGAGGGCCUCUACAUCGACAUCCUUGACCCUCCGAUGAGUUGUGAGUAGUUUACCACAGACCUAAGGGUCCAUAGUUAUUAGCUAGAUGGCUUCUUCUCUCUUUUUGGAUCUCAAUACAAUGUUCUCCCCCUCUCUUGUGGAGAUCUAUUCGAUGUAAUCUCUUUUUGCGGUGUGUUUGUCGAGAUCUGAUGAAUUGCGGGUUUAUGAUCAAGUUUAUCUAUGGAUAAUAAUUGAAUCUUCUCUGAAUUCUUUUAUAUGAUUGAGUUAUCUUUGCAAGUCUCUUCGAAUUAUCGGUUUGGUUUGGCCUACUAGAUUGAUCUUUCUUGCCAUGGGAGAAGUGCCUAGCUUUGGGUUCAAUCUUGCGGUGUUCUUACCCAGUGACAGAAAGGGUUGCAAGACACGUAUUGUAUUGUUGCCAUCGAGGAUAAAAAGAUGGGGUUUAUAUCAUAUUUCAAGAGUUUAUCCCUCUACAUCAUGUCACCUUGCUUAAUGUGUUACUCUGUUCUUAUGAACUUAAUACUCUAGAUGCAGGCAGGAGUCGGUCGAUUGUGGAGUAAUAGUAGUAGAUGCAGGCAGGAGUCAGUCUACUUGUUAUGGACGUGAUGCCUAUAUACAUGAUCAUGCCUAGAUAAUCUCAUAAUCAUUCGCUUUUCUAUCAAUUGCUCGACAGUAAUUUGUUCACCCACCGUAAUACUUAUGCUAUCUCGAGAGAAGCCUCUAGUGAAACCUAUGGCCCCCGGGUGUAUCUCUUAUCAUAUUUGCUUCCAAUCUACUUUUUUUUGCAUCUUUACUUUUUCUCAUCUAUAUUAAAAAAUACCAAAAAUAUAUUUAUCUUAUCAUACUAUCUCUAUCAGAUCUUACUUUCGUAAGUGGCCGUGAAGGGAUUGACAACCCCUUUAUUGUGUUGGUUGCGAGUUCUCAGUUUGUUUGUGUAGGUGCGUGGGACUUUUGAGGAGCCUCCUAUGAAGGAAAUAUGCCCUAGAGGCUAAUAAAGUUAUUAUUUAUUUCCUUAUAUCAUGAUAAAUGUUUAUUAUUCAUGCUAGAAUUGUAUUAACUGGAAACAUAAUACAUGUGUGAAUACAUAGACAAACAGAGUGUCACUAGUAUGCCUCUACUUGACUAUCUCAUUAAUCAAAGAUGGUUAUGUUUCCUAGCCAUGGACAAAGAGUUGUCAUUUGAUUAACGGGAUCAUAUCAUUAGGAGAAUGAUGUGAUUGACUUGACCCAUUCCGUUAGCUUAGCACUUGAUCGUUUAGUAUGUUGAUGUUGCUUUCUUCAUGACUUAUACAUGUUCCUAUGACUAUGAGAUUAUGCAACUCCCGUUUACCGGAGGAACACUUUGUGUGCUACCAAACGUCACAACGUAACUGGGUGAUUAUAAAGGUGCUCUAUAGGUGUCUCCGAAGGUACUUGUUGGGUUGGCGUAUUUCGAGAUAGGGAUUUGUCACUCCGAUUGUCGGAGAGGUAUCUCUGGGCCCACUCGGUAGUGCACAUCACUUAAAGCCUUAAAGCAUUGCAACUAAUGAGUUAGUUGCGGGAUGAUGUAUUAUGGAACGAGUAAAGAGACUUGCCGGUAACGAGAUUGAACUAGGUAUUGAGAUACCGACGAUCGAAUCUCGGGCAAGUAACAUACCGAUGACAAAGGGAACAACGUAUGUUGUUAUGCGGUUUGACCGAUAAAGAUCUUCAUAGAAUAUGUGGGAGCUAAUAUGGGCAUCCAGGUCCCGCUAUUGGUUAUUGAUCGGAAACAUGUCUCAUGUCUACAUAGUUCUCGAACCCGUAGGGUCGGCACGCUUAACGUUUCGUUGACGAUAUAGUAUUAUAUGAGUUAUGAAUGUCGGUGACCGAAUGUUGUUCGGAGUCCCGGAUGAGAUCAUGGACAUGACGAGGAACUCCGGAAUGGUCCAGAGAUAAAGUUUGAUAUAUGGGAUAAUAGUGUUUGAUCUCCGGAAGGGUUCCGAAAUUCACCGGAAGGGGUUCCGGAUGUUUCCCGAAAUGUUUGGGUAUGAGAACACGUUAUUUGGGCCAAAGGGGAAAGCCCACGAGGCUUUUGGAAAGUGCAAAAGGAAGUUUUGCGGCGACCAGAGGCUAGACGCCAGGAACCCUGGCGUCUAGGGGGUAGACGCCGGGAACCCUGGCGUCUAGCCCUGGAGUCCGUGUAGGACUCUUGCCUUUCGGGCAAAACCAACUUUGAGGAGGCUUUUACUCCAAGUUUCGACCCCAAGGCUCAACAUAUAAAUAGAGGGGCAGGGCUAGCACCAAAGACACAUCAAGAAACACCAAGCCGUGUGCCGGCAACCCCGUCCCCUGUAGUUUAUCCUCCGUCAUAGUUUAUGUAGUGCUUAGGCGAAGCCCUGCGGAGAUUGUUCUUCACCAACACCGUCACCACGCCGUCGUGCUGCCGGAACUCAUCUACUACUUUGCCCGUCUUGCUGGAUCGAGAAGGCGAGGACGUCAUCGAGCUGAAAGUGUGCAGAACUCGGAGGUGUCGUGCGUUCGGUACUUGGAUCGAUCGGAUCGUGAAGACGUACGAGUACAUCAACCGCGUUGAUAAAUGCUUCCUCUUAGCGAUCUUCAAGGGUAUGAAGAUACACUCCCCCUCUCGUUGCUAUGCAUCACCAUGAUCUUGCGUGCGCGUAGGAAUGUUUUUGAAAUUACUAUGUUCCCCAAUAGUGGCAUCCGAGCCAGGUUUUAUGCGUAGAUGUUAUAUGCACGAGUAGAACACAAGUGAGUUGUGGGCGAUACAAGUCAUACUGCUUACCAGCAUGUCAUACUUUGGUUCGGCGGUAUUGUUGGAUGAAGCGGCCUGGACCGACAUUACGCGUAUGCUUACGCGAGACUGGUUUUACCGUCGUGCUUUGCACACAGGUAACUAGCGGGUGUCAGUUUCUCCAACUUUAGUUGAACCGAGUGUGGCUACGCCCGGUCCUUGUGAAGGUUAAAACAGCACCAACUUGACAAACUAUCGUUGUGGUUUUGAUGCGUAGGUAAGAACGGUUCUUGCUAAGCCCGUAGCAGCCACAUAAAAUUUGCAACAACAAAGUAGAAGACGUCUAACUUGUUUUUGCAGGGCAUGUUGUGAUGUGAUAUGGUCAAGACGUGAUGCUAUAUUUUAUUGUAUGAGAUUAUCAUGUUUUGUAACCGAAGUUAUCGGCAACUGGCAGGAGCCAUAUGGUUGUCGCUUUAUUGUAUGAAAUGCAAACGCACUGUAAUUGCUUUACUUUAUCACUAAGCGGUAGCGAUAGUCGUAGAAGCAAUAGUUGGCGAGAUGACAACGAUGCUACGAUGGAGAUCAAGGUGUCGUGCCGGUGAAGAUGGUGAUCAUGAUGGUGCUUCGGAGAUGGAGAUCACAAGCACAAGAUGAUGAUGGCCAUAUCAUAUCACUUAUAUUGAUUGCAUGUGAUGUUUAUCUUUUAUGCAUCUUAUCUUGCUUUGAUUGACGGUAGCAUUAUAAGAUGAUCUCUCACUAAAAUUUCAAGAUAAAAGUGUUCUCCCUGAGUAUGCACCGUUGUCAAAGUUCAUCGUGCCCAGACACCACGUGAUGAUCGGGUGUGAUAAGCUCUACGUCCAUCUACAACGGGUGCAAGCCAGUUUUGCACACGCAGAAUACUCAGGUUAAACUUGACGAGCCUAGCAUAUGCAGAUAUGGCCUCGGAACACUGAGACCGAAAGGUCGAGCGUGAAUCAUAUAGUAGAUAUGAUCAACAUAAUGAUGUUUACCAUUGAAAGCUACUCCAUUUCACGUGAUGAUCGGUUAUGGUUUAGUUGAUUUGGAUCAUGUGAUCACUUAGAGGAUUAGAGGGAUGUCUUUCUAAGUGGGAGUUCUUAAGUAAUAUGAUUAAUUGAACUUUAAUUUAUCAUGAACUUAGUCCUGGUAGUAUUUUGCAAAUUAUGUUGUAGAUCAAUAGCUCACAUUUUUGCUUCCCUAUGUUUUUAUAUGUGUUCCUAGAGAAAACUAAGUUGAAAGAUGUUAGUAGCAAUGAUGCGGACUUGGUCCGUGAUCUGAGGUUUAUCCUCAUUGCUGCACAUAAGAAUUAUGUCCUUGAUGCACCGCUAGGUGACAAACCUAUUGCAGGAGCAGAUGCAGACGUUAUGAACGUUUGGCUAGCUCAAUAUGAUGACUACUUGAUAGUUUUGUGCACCAUGCUUUAUGGCUUAGAAUCGGGACUUAAAAGACGUUUUGAACGUCAUGGACCAUAUGAGAUGUUCCAGGAGUUGAAGUUAAUAUUUCAAGCAAAUACCUGAGUUGAGAGAUAUGAAGUCUCCAACAAGUUCUAUAGCUAAAAGAUGGAGGAGAAUCGCUCAACUAGUGAGCAUGUGCUCAGAUUGUCUGGGUACUACAAUCGCUUGAAUCAAGUGGGAGUUAAUCUUCCAGAUAAGAUAGUGAUUGACAGAAUUCUCUAGUCACCACCACCAAGUUAGUAGAACUUCGUGAUGAACUAUAAUAUGCAAGGGAUGAUGAAAACAAUUCCCAAGCUCUUCGCGAUGCAAAAAUCGGCGGAGGUAGAAAUCAAAGAAAAACAUCAAAGUGUUGAUGGUGGACAAGAUCACUAGUUUCAAGAAAAAAGGAAAAGGGAAGAAGGGGAACUUCAAGAAGAACAGCAAGCAAGUUGCUGCUCAAGUGAAGAAGCCCAAGUCUGGACCUAAGCCUAAGACUAAGUGAUUCUACUGCAAAGGGACUGGUCACUGGAAGUGGAACUACCCCAAGUAUUUGGCGGAUAAGAAGGAUGGCAAAGUGAACAUAGGUAUAUUUGAUAUACAUGUUAUUGAUGUGUACUUUACUAGUGUUUAUAGCAACCCCUUGGUAUUUGAUACUGGUUCAGUUGCUAAGAGUAGUAACUCGAAAUGGGAGUUGCGGAAUAAACAGAAACUAGUUGAGGGUGAGGUGACGAUGUGUGUUGGAAGUAGUUCCAAGAUUGAUAUGAUCAUCAUCGCACACUCCCUAUACUUUCGGGAUUAGUGUUGAACCUAAAUAAGUGUUAUUUGGUGUUUGCGUUGAGCAUGAAUGUGAUUUGAUCAUGUUUAUUGCAAUACGGUUAUUCAUGUAAGUUAGAGAAUAAUUGUUGUUCUGUUUACAUCAAUAAAACCUUCUAUGGUCAUACACCCAAUGAAAAUUGUUUUGUUGGAUCUCGAUCGUGUGAUACACAUAUUCAUAAUAUUGAAGCCAAAAGAUGUAAAGUUAAUAAUGAUAGUGCAACUUAUUUGUGGCACUGCCGUUUAGGUCAUAUUGGUGUAAAGCGCAUGAAGAAACUCCAUGCUGAUGGGCUUUUGGAAUCACUUGAUUAUGAAUCACUUGAUGCUUGCGAACCAUGGGAAAGAUGACUAAGACUCCGUUCUCUGGAACAACGGAGCGAGCAACAGAUUUGUUGGAAAUAAUACAUACUGAUGUAUGCGAUCCAAUGAGUGUUGAUGCUCGUGGCAAGUAUCGUUAUUUUCUUACCUUCAUAGAUGAUUUGAGCAGAUAUGGGUAUAUCUACUUAAUGAAACACAAGUCUGAAACAUUUGAAAAGUUCAAAGAAUUUCAGAGUGAAGUGGAGAAUCAUCGUAACAAGAAAAUAAAGUUUCUAUGAUCUGAUCGUGGAGGAGAAUAUUUGAGUUACGAGUUUGGCCUUCAUAUAAAACAAUGUGGAAUAGUUUCACAGCUCACACCACAUGGAACACCACAACGUAAUGGUGUGUCCGAACGUCAUAACCGCACUUUAUUGGAUAUGGUGCGAUCUAUGAUGUAUCUUACCAAUUUACCACUAUCGUUUUGGGGUUAUGCAUUAGAGAUAGUUGCAUUCAAUUUAAAUAGGGCACCAUCAAAAUCCGUUUGAGACGACGCCUUAUGAAUUGUGGUUUGGCAAGAAACCAAAGUUGUCGUUUCUUAAAGUUUGGGACUGUGAUGCUUAUGUGAAAAAGUUUCAACCUGAUAAUCUCGAACCCAAAUCGGAGAAGUGCGUCUUCAUAGAAUACCCAAAGGAAACUAUUGGGUACACCUUCUAUCACAGAUCCGAAAGCAAGAUAUUCGUUGCAAAGAUGGAUCCUUUCUAGAGAAGGAGUUUCUCUCGAAAGAAGUGAGUGGGAGAAAAGUAGAACUUGAUAAGGUAAUGGUACCUUCUCCUGAAUUGGAAAAUAGUUCAUCGCUGAAAUCAGUUCCAGUGAUUCCUACACCAAUUAGUGAGGAAGCUAAUGAUGAUGAUCAUGAAACUUCAGAUCAAGUUAUUACAGAACCUCGUAUGUCUUCCAGAGUAUGGACCGCACCAGAGUGGUACGGUAAUCCUGUUCUGGAAGUCAUGUUACUAGACCAUGAUGAACCUACGAACUAUGAGGAAGCGAUGAUGAGCCCAGAUUCUGUGAAAUGGCUGGAGGCCAUGAAAUCUGAGAUAGGAUCCAUGUAUGAGAACAAAGUGUGGACUUUGGUGGACUUGCCUGAUGAUCGGUAACCCAUAGAAAAUAAAUGGAUCUUCAAGAGGAAGACGGACGUUGAUAGUAGUGUUACUAUCUACAAAGCUCGAAUUGUCGCAAAAGGUUUUCGACAAGUUCAAGGUGUUGAAUACAAUGAGAUUUUCUCACUCGUAUUGAUGCUUAAAAGUCUGUCUGAAUCAUGUUAGCAAAUUGCCGCAUUUUAUGAAAUCUGGCAAAUGGAUAAAUAAAACUGCAUUCCUUAAUGGAUUUACUAAAGAAGAGUUGUAUAUGAUACAAGGUUUUGUCAAUCCUAAAGGUGCUAACAAAAUAUGCAAGCUCCAGCGAUCCAUCUAUGGACUGGUGCAAGCAUCUCGGAGUUGGAAUAUACGCUUUGAUAAGUUGAUCAAAGCAUAUAGUUUUAAUACAGACUUGCGGUGAAGCCUGUACUUACAAGAAAGUGAGUGGGAGCACUACAGCAUUUCUGAUAAGUAUAUGUGAAUGACAUAUUGUUGAUCGGAAAUAAUGUAGAAUUAUUCUGCAAAGCAUAAAGGAGUGUUUGAAAGGAGUUUUUCAAAGAAAGACCUCAGUGAAGCUGCUUACAUAUUGAGCAUCAAGAUCUAUAGAGAUAGAUUGAGACGCCUGAUAAGUUUUUCAAUGAAUACAUACCUUGACAAGAUUUUGAAGUAGUUCAAAAUGGAACAGUCAAAGAAAGAGUUCUUGCCUGUGUUACAAGGUGUGAAAUUGAGUAAGACUCAAAGCCCGACCACGGCAUAAGAUAGAAAGAGAAUGAAAGUCAUUCCCUAUGCCUCAGCCAUUUGUUCUAUAAAGUAUGCCAUGCUGUGUACCAGAUCUGUUGCAUACCCUACCACUAAGUAUUGGCAAGGGAGUGCAAUAGUAAUCUAGGAGUAGAUCAAUGGACAGCGGUCAAGAAUAUCCUUAGUAAGGACUAAGGAGAUGUUUCUCGAUUAUGGAGGUGACAAAAGAGUUCUUCGUAAAGAGUUACAUCGAUGCAAGCUUUUACACCGAUCCAGAUGACUCUAAGUCUCAAUCUGGAUACAUAUUAAAAGUGGGAGCAAUUAGCUAGAGUAGCUCCGUGCAGAACAUUGUAGACAUAGAAUAUUUGCAAAAUACAUACGACUCUGAAUGUGACAGACCCGUUGACUAAACUUCUCUCGUGAUCAAAACAUGAUCAUACCUUAGUACUCUUUGGGUGUUAAUCACAUAGCAAUGUGAACUAGAUUAUUGACUCUAGUAAACCCUUUGGGUGUUGUCACAUGACGAUGUGAACUAUGGGUGUUAAUCACAUACAAAUGUGAAUAUUGGUGAUGAAUCACAUGGUGAUGUGAACUAGAUUAUUGACUCUAGUGCAAGUGGGAGACUGAAGGAAAUAUGCCCUAGAGGAAAUAAUAAAGUUAUUAUUUAUUUCCUUAUAUCAUGAUAAAUGUUUAUUAUUCAUGCUAGAAUUGUAUUAACCGGAAACAUAAUACAUGUGUGAAUACAUAGACAAACAGAGUGUCACUAGUAUGCCUCUACUUGACUAGCUCAUUAAUCAAAGAUGGUUAUGUUUCCUAGCCAUGGACAAAGAGUUGUCAUUUGAUUAACGGGAUCACAUCAUUAGGAGAAUGAUCUGAUUGACUUGACCCAUUCCGCUAGCUUAGCACUUGAUCGUUUAGUAUGUUGUUGUUGCUUUCUUCAUGACUUAUACAUGUUCCUAUGACUAUGAGAUUAUGCAACUCCCGUUUAUCGGAGGAACACUUUGUGUGCUACCAAACGUCACAACAUAACUGGGUGAUUAUAAAGGUGCUCUACAGGUGUCUCCGAAGGUACUUGUUGGGUUGGCGUAUUUCGAGAUUAGGAUUUGUCACUCCGAUUGUCGGAGAGGUAUCUCUGGGCCCACUCGGUAAUGCACAUCACUUAAAGCCUUGCAAGCAUUGCAACUAAUGAGUUAGUUUUGGGAUGAUGUAUUAUGGAACGAGUAAAGAGACUUGCCGGUAACGAGAUUGAACUAGGUACUGAGAUACUAACGAUCGAAUCUCGGGCAAGUAACAUACCGAUGACAAAGGGAACAACGUAUGUUGUUAUGCGGUUUGACAGAUAAAGAUCAUCGUAGAAUAUGUGGGAGCCAAUAUGGGCAUACAGGUCCCACUAUUGGUUAUUGACCGGAAACGUGUCUCAGUCAUGUCUACAUAGUUCUCGAACCCGUAGGGUCCACACACUUAACGUUUUGUUGACGAUAUAGUAUUAUAUGAGUUAUGAAUGUCGGUGACCAAAUGUUGUUCGGAGUCCCGGAUGAGAUCAUGGACAUGACGAGGAACUCCGGAAUGGUCCGGAGAUAAAGUUUGAUAUAUGGGAUAAUAGUGUUUGAUCUCCGGAAGGGUUCCGGAAUUCACCGGAAGGGGUUCUGGAUGUUUCCCGAAAUGUUUGGGUACGAGAACACGUUAUUUGGGCCAAAGGGGAAAGCCCACGAGGCUUUUGGAAAGUGCAAAAGGAAGUUUUGCGGAGACCAGAGGCUAGACGCCAGGAACCCUGGCGUCUAGGGGGUAGACACCGGGAACCCUGGCGUCUAGCCCUGGAGUCCGUGUAGGACUCUUGCCUUUCGGGCAAAACCGACUUUGAGGAGGCCUUUACUCCAAGUUUCAACCCCAAGGCUCAACAUAUAAAUAGAGGGGCAGGGCUAGCACCAAAGACUAGGGCUGGAAAAAAAGCUCGAAGCUCGCGAGCUAAACAAGUAGCUCGUGACUCGGCUCAAAUCGACUCGAACUCGAAGAAUAAUAAGUCGAGCCGAGCUUUAGUUUAAGAUCGUUUAUAGACCAAGUUAAACGAGUCAAUCUUACGAGUACUCGUGUGACUCGUUAGGCUCGAUACAAUAGAUCAGCCACUCCCAAUACAAAGAAAGAUCAGCCACUAAACAGCCUACGUCCGAGUUGCACAACCCAUGGCCGAGCAGUUGAAGGCCUAGCCUCCUAGGAGACUCACGCGUUACAAGAAAAUUACAAUUGUAUAGUGAUAUAUAUGUUUAAUAUAUACAAAUCAUUUUUAUCAUAUUUGAGGACUUUAUUUUUAUAUCUUAAACGAGCUUAACAAGCUAAACGAGCCAGCUCGCGAGUUAUACGAGUCGAGCCAAUCUUGGGUUUGAGCUCGUUAUAGUAACGAGUCGAGUCGAGCUAGCUCGUUAACGAAACGAGCUCUAGCAAGUCGAGCCGAGCUGGCUCGACUCGGCUCGAAUUCCAGCCAUACCAAAGACACAUCAAGAAACACCAAGCCGUGUGCCGGCAACCCCAUCCCCUCUAGUUUAUCCUCCGUCAUAGUUUCCGUAGUGCUUAGGCGAAGCCCUGCGGAGAUUGUUCUUCACCAACACCGUCACCACGCCGUCGUGCUGCCGGAACUCAUCUACUACUUCGCCCGUCUUGCUGGAUCGAGAAGGCGAGGACGUCAUCGAGCUGAACGUGUGCAGAACUCGGAGGUUCCGUGCGUUCGGUACUUGGAUCGAUCGGAUCGUGAAGACGUACGACUACAUCAACCACGUUGAUAAACGCUUCCGCUUAGAGAUCUUCAAGGGUAUGAAGAUACACUCCCCCUCUCGUUGCUAUGCAUCACCAUGAUCUUGCGUGCGCGUAGGAAAUUUUUUGAAAUUACUACGUUCCCCAACAUCCUACUGGAUUGAUACCUUGGUUCUCAAAAACUUAGGGAAAUACUUACGCUACACUUGCUGCAUCACCCUCUCCUCUUCGGGGGAAACCAACGCAAGCUCAAGACGUAGCAGCGCCUGGGCGCAUCCGCAUGCAUUGAUCGGGCACCCCUCAAAUGUUGCACCACACAUUCACAUAUGUCACGCCCAAUAUGCGACCCUAUCCUAAAGGAACUCGAAGGUCCCACCAAGGAUAGAAGCGCAUAUUGGAGACGCUUUUGCAAGGUGGAUAUCAUUACAUCGUACCAUUACAUAAUAGUUGGGGAUACAUACAAGAGGCAUACAAUGUCACACGAAUACAACAUCAUCAUACAUAAGAGCAACAUCCGACUAUGGAUGAAACACAAACAUAAACUCAAACGACAUCCACUCUGCUAGCUCAGGCUGCCGACCUGGAACGUAUCCCCUGAUUUAAGAAGAAGCAGAAGAAGAAGUCCAAAACAAGUAAACAUCGCUCUCGCAUCAUGAUCAUCGCAUUACCUGUACCUACAACUGUUGUUUUAGUAAUCUGUGAGCCACGAGGACUCAGCAAUCCCAUUACCAUGGGUAUCAAGACUAGCAAAGCUUAAUGGGUAUGGAAAGGAUAAGUGAUGAGGUUGCAGCAGCGACUAAGCAUAUAUGGUGGCUAGCAUACGCAAAUAAGAGCGAGAAGAGAAGCAACGCAACGGUCGAGAAGCUAGAAGUGAUCAAGAAGUGAUCCUGAAACUACUCACGUUCAUACAUAACACAAAUCGUGUUCACUUCUCGACCCACUUGAAAAGAGACCAUCACGGUUAGACACAUGGUUGGGUAUUUUAAAUCGAAUCUGGUGUCAAGUUCUCUAAAACCGGAUAUUAAAAACUCCUAUCUGCCACAUAACCACAGGCACGGCUUUCGAAAGUUUAUACCCUGCAGGGGUGUCCCAACUUAGCCCAUCAUAAGCUCUCAUGACCAACAAAAGAUAUUCCUUCUCCCGGGAAGACCCGAUCAGUCUCGGAAUCUCGGUUACAAGACAUUUCGACAAUGGUAAAACAAGACCAGCAAGACCGCCCGAAUGUGCCAACAAAUCCUGAUAGGAGCUGCACAUAUCUCGUUCUCAGGGCACACUAGAUGAGUCAAGCUACGAGUAAAACCAGCCCUCAAGUUUCCCCGAGGUGGCCCCGCAGGCUUCUCAGUUCGGACCAACACUUAGAGAAGCACUGGCCCAGGGGGGUUUAAAAUAAAGAUGACCCUCAGGUUAAUUACUCACAAGGGAAAGGUAAUAGGUUGUUAGGCAAAUGCAAACCCAAAGUUGGGCCUUGCUGGAGGAGUUUUAUUCAAAGCGAACUAUCAAGGGGUUCCCAUACACCCGACCGCGUAAGGAACACAAAAUCAAGGAACAUAACACCGGUAUGACGGAAACUAGGGUGACAAGAGUGGAACAAAACACCAGGCAUAAGGCCGAGCCUUCCACCCUUUACCGAGUAUAUAGAUGCAUUAAUUAAAGAUAAGAGAUAUUAUGAUAUCCCAACAUAAUCCUGUCCAACAUGGAGCAAUCUUCAACUUCACCUGCAACUAACAACGCUAUAAGAGGGGCUGAGCAAAGCGGUAACAUAGCCAAGCAGCGGUUUGCUAGGAAGGGUGAAAAGGUUAGAGUCUGACAUGACAGUUUGGAGGCUUGAUAAACAAGUGAUAGGUAGCGCAACAUAGCGAUAGAACGAAGCAACUAGCAUAGCAAUGAUAGUAGUGAGAUCCAGGGUAACAGUCAUCUUGCCUGAAAUCCCGCAAGGAAGAAGAACGAGUCCAUGAAGAAGACGAACCAAGCGUAGACGAACGAAUCCUCACGAUCGCAACGAAACAGGAACUAUCGAGAAGAAGCACAACCGGAAAGAAGCAAACAACAUGGUAAACACACAACAUAUAAACAUGGCAUGAUGCACAACCAAGCAUGAUGCAUGACAAAGGCUAUAUGAUGCUACUCAUGGCAAGAGAUGAUGCAUACAAGAACAACACAUCAAAGCAAGUUUAAAUGAGGCCGGAAACCACAUAUAAGCAAUCCGGUAAGUCCCCAUAUGCAAAUUUCAAAAUUGGUCCAGAACUGAAUAAACUUUAUGUUCAAGUUGUUAAACCUCAUGUUAAGAUGCACCAAUAUGAUCUACACGAAAUUCUAGUCAAGUUACAUAUAAAGUUCAUUUAGUUUGGAGCUACGGCCUAGAAGAUAUGAGCAAAAUAGGUUAAACAUGACAUUGGUGCAAAAUGCAUUCAAACAUCAAGCAAACACUCUACAAAAAUGGAUGCAACAUGAUAAUAUGAAACUACAUGCAAAAUCAAGCAAGUUUCAUAUAGAGCAUGCUCAAAACGGAGCAACGGUGCAACACUUACACUCCAAGCAAGAUAUAACAAUAAUUUGCCCAAAACAACAACUAGGCACUUUGCAAUCAUCAAAACAACAUGCUACAGGAAUCAUAUGACCACAAACUUGACAUGCACUUCAUGUACAGAUAAUAUACUUCAAAUACCAUUAAGGUUCAGGUUCAUAGGCAUCAAGAUUAAACUAAUAUGAUCAAUGCAAAAUGCAAAUUUAUAACACAGGAGCAUAUGCAUGAGCAGAGUUAAUAUGAUGGCAACUUGAGAGCAAUAAAGAGACAAUCUACAGUAAGUAUACAUAGCAACCAAGGGCAUGGCAUCCAAGUACACAUAACAAAGAGAAAAUAACAUCAUGUCAUUAUAUACAUAUGGCUCAUGGAUUAGUAGGAACCAACAUGACAAGAUUGAAUGUUAAAACAGUUUCAGGAAGUGUAAAACAGCAACAUUAUGAUAGCAUGUUUGCAAGCAUGGAACAGAGGCAUAUGACAUCCAAAAUUAGCAAAUGUGGCAUGUGAACAGAUUAAUCAUAGCAUACUACAAAGCAUGUAAUUGGAGCAUCUCCAUAAUAGGCAUGUAUCAACUAAUAUCAAGCUCACAACAAGGCAUUAUGAAGUUAACAGAAAUCUGGAACAACAAAUAGGCAUGUUCAUGGCAAUGAAAACAUGUGCUACAGGAAAUAUAUAGGGCAUCAAAAUGCAUGUCAUGAUAGAGCAUAACAUAGACAACAAUACAUGUCAAAUAAGCCUCUCCAGAAUAUGCAUAGAUUAACUGGUAGCAUCAAGCAAAGAUAGCAUUAUGAUAUGACAGAAACAGACUUGACAGAAAGUUAACAGCAAGUAGCUCACUUCACAAGCUUGAUUCACUCACUACAGGGCAUAUAAAAAUACAUGGAUUACACCCCCUGUAAAGACGGCAUAAAUAUGCUCCUAAAACAUGUAGAUAUCAUCCUCAUAGGAUGCACACACAAAAUGCAACAAAAAAGACAAAUCAGCAAGUUACAGCAGUUAACAGCAACAUGCACUUUGGCAACAGGGAUUAAGAUAUCAAGAUGCACCCUAAUGUGAAUUCAAAGCACACCAACAUGUAGAGCAUGAGAAGAAGAACACGUGCAUAUCAAGAUCAUCAUCGUAGCAUCAACAGGGACAAAGUUGUGGCACUCACAAGAUGCACAAAUGAUGUUAACAAGCAACAGUUUCAGCAGGUUAUAUCAUAUAGCAGUUUUGCAAUGAAGAUUAAGGCAUCAAUAUGAACAGGAAAAUGAAUGCAAACUAGACCAUCAUCUAGAGCACUCUGAUAUGAACAUUUUGACAUAUCAUACACGCAAAAUAGAGCAGUACACACCAAGUUAGAGCAAGUCAAACAUGCAUACAUGAUGAUAAAAAUGUUGGGACUUAGUGGAAAAUAUACCCUUCGAAAAAUUGGACGGGGUCGACCCGGGACGGAGGGAUCCAGGUGCGGGGGAGGCGUUUGGUUGAUGGAGGCGGUGGAACUCGUCCACCUUCCGGUGGAUCCGGCGAGCUCCUGCCGGCGCGGGACAGCGGCGGGGAGGCGGAUUCGGGCGGCGGGGAGGCGGAUCCGGCCGGUGGCGGCCGAAGGCGGCGGGGCAAGGCGGAGCCGAGGCAGGGCGGCGACGCNNNNNNNNNNNNNNNNNNNNNNNNNNNNNNNNNNNNNNNNNNNNNNNNNNNNNNNNNNNNNNNNNNNNNNNNNNNNNNNNNNNNNNNNNNNNNNNNNNNNNNNNNNNNNNNNNNNNNNNNNNNNNNNNNNNNNNNNNNNNNNNNNNNNNNNNNNNNNNNNNNNNNNNNNNNNNNNNNNNNNNNNNNNNNNNNNNNNNNNNNNNNNNNNNNNNNNNNNNNNNNNNNNNNNNNNNNNNNNNNNNNNNNNNNNNNNNNNNNNNNNNNNNNNNNNNNNNNNNNNNNNNNNNNNNNNNNNNNNNNNNNNNNNNNNNNNNNNNNNNNNNNNNNNNNNNNNNNNNNNNNNNNNNNNNNNNNNNNNNNNNNNNNNNNNNNNNNNNNNNAGGAGCCGGGGCGCGAGCGCCUGGGCCCAGAUCGGCCCGGGGGCGGGCCUGCGUCGGGUGAGCCGGAUCGGGGCCACGUGGCUCUCCCCCGUUGGCUGGGGCGGUGGCGGUGGACGCGUCCGGCGCCGUCCGGACGUGUCCGGCACGCGGAGGAAUGAGGCUAUGGUUUCAUUCGCGAAUUUGGAAGGGGGAGGCAUAUUUAUAGGUAGAGGGAGCUAGGAGAGUCCAAAUAAGGUGUGGUUUUCGCCCACAUGAUCGUGAUCCAACAACGGAGAGCAUGGAUGGGAGUUAGAUGGGUUAGUGGGCUGUUUGGAGGGGUGUUGGGCUGCAAAGAGAGAGGGGUUUUGGUUAACUCGGUUAACCGUUGGGGCAUCAAACGACCUUCAAAUGGAACGAAAUUUGACGGACGGUCUACCGGUGAUAUACCAAGGCCACUCGGCAAAUAUUGGCCCAUUCCGAGAAUGUUUUUCUCCCGCUCACAAAACAAGAUAAGAGGGGUGCCGUGGGUGCAUGUGGGAGUGUCGGAUGGCGAAACGGACAACGGAGAAAAAGAGAGAGGAUGCAAGUUUUAAAAAACAAGCAAAUGAUGACAUGGCAAAAUGCAACACGCAAGCAAAAGACAUGGCAAUGACGGCGAAUAACUGGAAGACACCUGGCGCAUCAGAUUUGGGGCGUUACAACAUACCAUAAAUUUUGAUUCUCAAAUCCAUGCAAUCCAUGCACAUCGAUCAUAUGAUACAAAUUGUCUAAAUGCCAACGUUCGAAACAAAGCAAAACAAAUCAUAGUUCAACAAACCGGGCAUGGCAAAAUGAAAUCAACGUCCGAGCGUGACGGAUGGCCUCGCAUCACUGGUUGGGCGCCUGCUCCGAGCGGAAGGCGUCCUGCUCGUCCUGCUCUGCCUGCAUCCGAGCAGCCUCCUCCGCCUACAGCCGGGCUGCCUGCUCCGCCUGCGGGGAUCCAGGAGCAGCGGAGGAGACAACUGCUCCACCAUGUCCGAACCUCCCUGCGACGCCGCCGCCGCCUCCCUCUCUCGCUACCGCGUCGUCGCAACUUGCGGGUGAUGUUCUCCGCCUUGCAAGUCGCAGUCGACGAAUUGACGCCGCCGACGGACAAGGCGGACUGCGUCUCCGUCGCGGCGGUGUGGGUCGGGCUGGACGACAUCUCCGGCAGUGGAUAGGGACCGGAGGUGAGGAUUGAGAGUAAGGGUGGAGAACAAUGAGGGUCCGGGUGCGGGAAAGGUUGGAGAGCGGCGGGAGGAGGAGGAAGGAUUUGGUGGAUUUGAUGCAAUUUGGGGUGGGGUCGGGUUGUUGGGUCCGACGUGACGGGCGUGCCCGGGCGCCCCCAUAUCCACCCCAUAUUUGGGCUGGAUAUGGGGGGUGUCAGUCAGCCCAGGGGCGUUUGAGGCCAGUUUAAGGAGCCCGUCUGGUCAAGAAAUCAUGACCGGACAGUGACCAGGCGGCCCGCCCAGGCGUAUGAGGCGGGUUUAAGAGGAUCUGGUUGUAGAUGCUCUUAGGCCUUAUAGUUUUAUGUCUCAUUUCUAUACAAGAUGCUUAGGGCCAGUUUUUUUGGGCGGCUUAAAAAAUAAGUUGUCUCUCCCUAGCUUAAAAAAAUAAGUCACGGCCAAAAUUUAUUGAGUCUUCUGUAUUAGUUAUCCCAUAACUAGUCCAGAAGCCCCAAUGAAUAAGGAAGACGGCUUAUAGAAAAAUCUAGAAAAGAGACGGCUUAUUUUUUUAAGCCAUCAAAAGAACUGGCCUUUAGAGAGUGUUUACAUGAUCAAUUUUAUUUAAUCAUCGGUGUUUAUUUAUAGAUGAUAGAUGCUUAACUAGAUACCCCUUCCAUAAAGAUAAGGAAUUGUGCAUAAGAUGAUAAACGUUUAACUAGAUACAUCUCCCAUGGAGAUAAAGACAAGAGCUUAAGAAAAAUUGAUUUUUUUUACUAAGCAUCUCUCUAACCACGUCCGAGGAUGUGCUUUUCUUUGUAGAUUAGAUGAUUGCCUGUGCGUUGUCACGGGAGUUAAAAAAAAAUCAAGUUUCAAAGAUUUUUACUUGUUUAAACUGCAUAUCACACAGUUUCCGGUUUGCUAUAUGUACAAAAUAUGUAUAGCAUGACCAUUCAAGCACAUGUUGUGGUUCUUCUGUCUCCCUCUCCUUUACUAUCAACGCUUUCCUAUUACUCCACUCCACUCGGCAGUAGUCCAUUUGUUUUUUACAUACAUUGCUAGUGUACUUUGAGAAACACACCAAAGCAGGAGAAGACAUAAUAUAAUUGUGUUGUUACAGUCCCUUUCGUUCAUUGUGACUAUCCUUGCCGAAGAAGAUCACGACUUUGUCAUUGGCUUCAUCGACUACAACGGAGAUUCCAAGGAUCCUCACCUUAGAUGUGAUGGUUUUAGCAGAUUUCUACCUUAACCAUGAUAACUCCUCAGAGUUUCACCAGACCAUAAAGCAAGCAGUUUUCUACAUGCUUUGCCGGAUGAUUUUAGAAUUAGUUUUUUUUUACAUGUUAGUGUUAUUUGGAACAGCUUUACAGAUUGUUAUCAUGCAUAAAUAGGUAGUUGUAGUACUGUAGUUAGUAAAUACCGAUUCAAAGAGCUUCACAACUCUGCUAUUUAUAGAUGUUUAAGGUAAAAAUAGACAAUGAUGUUUCAUAUAAAAAUAAAUAUCACGCAAUCAUCUAUCCUAAAGGAUUGCUAAUAAAGAAAUAGCUAGCACAAACUGAUAAUUAUAAACGUUAGUGCACAAUAUAUCCUGGAUAUCAUUUCUUUGUCAUCCUAUGUCUGCACAAAAAUAGAAUAAGGAUAACAUUAUUAUAGAGCUUAGAGAUCAAUAAAUAGUAUGAUCUGAAUUUACAAAAAAACUGUGUAGUCAAAUAUGUUUGCUUACUCAAGAGAGUCUUUGGGUAUUCAACGGUCAACAAAUACGACAAUUCUUGGAUGAAGUUGCAUUGCUAUCCAUCUGAUUGGAGGAGGCUAUAUGAGAUGAUGGUCGGAAACUUGGAAGUGCGUUCCGGACACAUUCUGGAACAAAACUGCAAUAUUAUCUUAUCUUAUCUUAUCUUACUACCUAAAAGAAACGUAGUGUUCCGUUUCCCCUCUUACGUUGCCCUUCGUCGUCCAUCUCCUCCUCGCUUCCACGAUGGCCCACUCUCCGGUUUUUCUCCUCCUUCCUUAAGUACUCUUCCCACCUCGUUCACCUUCCUAAGAAAACGGAUUGCUCCACCAUCUAUGAUCAAAACAAAUCAGGACGCAUCGCCCUCUGCCUCGGAUCCGAUUUGAGUCCCUCGCCCGCUCGUCGACCAGGAAACAGGAGGCAUGGCAACUUGCUCCCUCGCCGGCUCGCCCCGGUUGGACGAUCAUAGUCACUCCGCGCCCGUCAACCCUCUCCGGCGACGUAGACCCAGAGGUGGAGGUCUCCCAUGAACAUCGCCAUCAUGUUGGUCUGAUACGUGCAUCAACCUCAUUAUUCACCACUCCAAAUUAGGGUGUCAAAGUCUGCUGUCUCUGCCAUUGAAGGUGCGUUCAGGAUCUAUGCUGGUUGCGGUCUCUCGUGAGGGCCAAAGGCUGAUCUCUAGCAAGGUAAGUGCUCUUAUUAUACUCAUGGAUCAUGCCCAUCCGGCGAUGCAAAUGGAGACACGGGUGGGCUGUUUAGUCGUCGGCCGCCGCUGCACCUACACAGCAUUAUGCACCGUCCUUGCUAUGCCCCCCAGGUGGGAUGCAUAGCUAUCGGCUGCGACGCCAUACCAACUCAUCGGCAGUAGUGCAAUUUCCUGUUUUCUUCAGUCAAUGCAUGUGCUGUCUGUGAUUCGCGUACUAUUAGACAGUUCUUUUCUUAUGCAUCAAUUAACACUCAAUCAUUCCACUAAAAUGAUUAGGCUGAAGAUACCCUGUAUUCCAAGUUCUAAAAAAAGACGAAGGUUGCACAAAUAUUCAGUCACCUGAAGGUCUCUUCGCUAGCACAAAUAUUAAGUGACCUUGUAUGCAUUAAGUUUCUGUGCACUCUACAAAAGCCUGCUAUUUUUUAUCUCUAACUUUGUUUGUAUGUUGCCCUAUUUAUUCUUCGGUCUAUUGCCUGAGAGUUUACAGAACAUGAUUCUUCUGAGAAUUAUAUUUCAAGCUUGUACUACCUCUGAAGCAUUGUAUGUUCUGCUUGAUUUUGGGAAUUAUAUUGCCUCAGAAUUCUGCUUGAGAGUUCUGCUUGACUUUAGGUUCCCAAAAAGAAACUCUGAUUGUAUGUUCAUGUCACUUCUAUGCAUACAAUAAUUAUCAAUAGAUUAAUCCCUUCCUUCAGCAUGUUAGCACUUGCAAGUUGGCUGAUUAAAUUAUUAUAUUAAUACACUACAUAGGCAAUGAUGCCUGCGCCUUUCUCGCCCACCUCUUCUCUCCAAACAUAUUUCUCCAUUGGUUAGUGACACCAAAUGAACGGAACCUGAAUAAUUUGUACAUGCUAGCUAGAACACAACAUAUUUCUUUGGAAAUGGUGGAGAGUAGAGAUGCAUAGUCAAAAGAAGCUUUGCAAGUUGUUUGUGACAUUAACUUCGUGGAAAUCGCUGCACUUCACUUCUUUAGUUAUAUUUGCUAGGGUUGGCUUUCAAAUAUUUUGGUUGUUUUCAUUUCAUUAAAUUCCAUAUUUUCUACUGGCAAGCAUAGUCAUGAAAAUUUGCAGCAGAUAGGCAUAGGGGAAAGAGCAACAUUGCCAAGCAAGUCUUGCACUCAAGAACCAUGAGAUUUUGCAGAUAGAAAAAUUAUUUAUUGGAUGGACUUUUAAUGUUGCAUGGACUGAGCACAAACUGUUUUUUUUCUUGCAUUCGUGUAGAUACUGCAACACAAACUGAGUUUUCCUCGUGUGCUCUCCCUCGCGAGCGCCCGCUGUCGACUACUCGCAUGCCUCCCAUCGCAAUCGUUGACUCCCCUUCUCCCACCCUCUCUUGCGCAUGCCGCAGAGAUCUGAGCAGAUCUGCUACAGUCGUUGUUCCUUCAGGAUGUUUGGGGUUUAGAGGGAUGGUCGGGGCGGUGACUGGCGGGCUGGUGCGGCAAGGCCGCACGUGGUGGCUGCGGCCGAUUAGGUAGGUGAUUAUGGUAGGGUCAAUGGGAUGGAAUAAGAAGAAGGUAACAUUGGGAAGGGGAGUCUCAAAAAAUCUCUGUAAAAUCUCCAUCUCUAUCUAUACUCUUGACUGAUUCACACAAAAAAAUCUCUACUCUUUGUUUUUUAUUAUUAUUACUUAUUCUAUAUAUACUGUUUUAAAAUGUGUAAGGUUUCAUGUUUCACUUCUUACCAUGACCCGUUUAUCCAACCUUCCUUGAAACAUAAUCAAUCACUAUUUAGCUUUCUUUCGAAUCAAUUUCACUUUAAUUUACUGACCAAACUUCUCAUGAAAAAUAAGGUAUAUCACGAGUAGGAUUUGAUAAACAUUUAUUGACUCAUUUGCAUUAAUACGGGAAAGUCAAUCACAAGAUAGCAUACUGAAAUUUAUAUCCCGUUGCAACGCACGGGCAUGGUCCUAGUGUUAUAUAUACAUAGUACUAAUAAUUGUUCAGCAUUGUAUGCCCGUGAUCGCAGAACAGAUGGUUUCCUAAGGAAAACCUGGACAAGGUACAUAGAUCAGACUGUGUCUAUAAAAUAUGAUGUUCCUGGUACACUGCAUCAACUUGUUAUAAAAAAUGACAUUUUGAAAUCCGCGGGAGAGGAUGAGGCACAUGCAUACCUUGCUGCGUUGCCGGUGCGCAAGCAAUUGUAAGCGUAGUUCACAUCCAUCCAGUACUAUUGGUUCCCGAUCUAGAGGGCACUGGCCUGCAACCAACGGACACCUGCACCGCGGCCGUAGUAGUAUGUGGCCUGAGAAACGACAGCAGCUGGCCAGUCAUCUGCAGAGGGCGUGGCGCUCGCUGCUGCGGCGAUGGAUGGGGCCCCAAAGCAGCGGUGUGGGACGAUGGUGAGAAGAGGAGGAGGGGAGAUGGGAAGAGGGGGAUCGUGAUCUGGAUGGAAAGAGAGGAGAAAUUGGCUGGCUUUUUCAUCUGUAUGGGUAGAUGGGAUGGAAGUAGGGAGGACGUCCCAAGAGAUUUUGCCAGCUGCUUUUCCCCAUCAUUUUAGGAAGGGGAGCAGGAAAUUUCUGCGGCAAUAAUGGUGAUUUCUCGCUGUGCUGGUGCGCGAGCGAUGCAGAUAAGGAAAGUUGAUUACUGCCCGUGAUUUCCCUGAAUUAAUUGCGUAUCCAUUACCAAAUAAGAUAUUGAUUGCCAAAUUAUUCCCAAAGAUUGAUCAGGAAGAGCCUGGGAGGAAAGAAAAUCGCUGGAGAGGUGCGAGGGGAUGGACGAAGGGGUGGACGUAAGAGGGGAGAGGGAGCACUACGUUUUUUUAAAGUAGUAGAGAAUCUACUACAAAAUUAUCUACGUUUCCAAAAGUGGAGACGGGUAAUGAGUAAGCCCUGUCCCUGUUAUCCAUGACAAGUUUCCAGUUCCCAUCUUAACGGGUGUAUUUGUUCCCAACUUCCCGUGACAUGUUGGCCCAAAUGUAGGCACCACCAUAAUUCGCCGUUUUUCCGGUUUUCUGAUGCUGUUGCCCACCAAAUGGAGCAAGCCCAUGGCGCGCUGCCUGCUCCUCCGCCGCCACCUCACGGCCGCGGUCGCCACCGCCGCAGCCACGGCGCCGCUCCCCGCGAGGAGCGCCCACCGGGUGUUCGACAGGAGCGCGCACACCGAUCGUAUCCAGGAGCUCGCGCGGCUCGGCCGCCUGCGGGAGGCCCGGGAGGUGUUCGACGCCAUGCCACACCGCAGCAUCUUCGCCUGGAACACCAUGAUCUCCGCCUACUGCAACAGUGGGAUGCUCGAGGACGCGAGGUCCCUCGUCGACGCCAUCUCCGGAGGGAACGUGCGCACGAGCACCAUCCUGCUGUCGGGGUACGCCCGCCUCGGCCGCGUGCUCGACGCCCGCAGGGUGUUCGACGGAAUGCUCGAGCGGAACACCAUCGCGUGGAACGCCAUGGUCAGCUGCUAUGUCCGCAACGGGGACGUCACUAUGGCGCGCAGGCUGUUCGACGCGAUGCCGAGCAAGGACGUCACGUCGUGGAACUCGAUGCUCACCGGGUACUGCCACAGCCGGCAGAUGGUGGAUGCAUGGCAUCUGUUUGAGCAAAUGCCAGAGCGCAACUUGGUUUCUUGGACAGUGGUGAUCUCUGGGUAUGCUAGAAUCGAGCAGCAUCGCAAGGCUUGGGACAUCUUUUGCAUGAUGCACCGUGAAGGCGUGUCACCAGACCAGUCAAACUUCGCAUCUGUGCUUUUAGCUGUGACGGGUCUUCGGGAUCUUUGUGUUCUAGAGGGCCUACGCCCUUUAGCCCUUAAGACAGGAUUUGAGAGUGAUGUGGUCAUUGGGACAUCAAUGCUAAAUGCAUAUACUAGGGAUGCAAGUGCGCUUGACACUGCAAUGAAAUUCUUCGAGGGUAUGCCAGAGAGGAAUGAGUACACAUGGUCAACUAUGAUCUCUGCACUAUCUCAUGGUGGUCGAAUCGAUGCUGCUACUGCCGUCUAUGAAAGAGACCCUGUAAAGUCCAUUCCAUGCCAGACUGCACUGCUCACAGGCUUAGCUCGAUGUGGCAGGAUUACUGAUGCAAGGAUUUUAUUUGAUCAGAUUCCUGAUCCUAUUGUUGUGUCCUGGAACGCCAUGAUUACUGGGUAUAUGCAGAAUGGAAUGGUUGAUGAGGCAAAGGAGCUGUUCGAUAGGAUGCCUUUCAGGAACACAAUAUCCUGGGCUGGAAUGAUUGCGGGGUAUGCACAGAAUGGAAGGAGUCAAGAAGCUUUGGAUUUACUCCAAGCACAGCAUAGGAACGGGAUGUUACCUAGCCUAUCUAGUUUGACCAGUAGCUUCUUUGCUUGUUCAAAUAUUGGAGCUCUUGAGACAGGAAAACAAGUGCAUUCACUUGCGGUCAAGGCUGGUUGCCAGUUCAAUAGCUAUGUAGGUAAUGCUCUCAUUACUAUGUAUGGCAAGUGCGGAAACAUGGAGUAUGUGAGACAGGUCUUCAGUCGAAUGCGAGUGAAAGACACUGUGUCAUGGAACUCAUUUAUUUCGGCACUUGUGCACAAUAAUAUGCUGGAGGAUGCAAGACAUAUAUUUGACAAUAUGCUCAGUCGGGAUGUUGUCUCUUGGACUACGAUAAUAUCUGCAUAUGCACAGGCUGACCGGGGGACUGAGGCAGUGGAGUUUUUCAAAAUAAUGUUACACAAGCAUGAAGUACCAAAUUCCCCGAUAUUAACUAUACUUCUCAGCAUUUGUGGAAGUCUUGGUGCUCCUAAGCUUGGGCAGCAAAUCCACACAGUAGCCAUCAAACACGGAAGGGAUUCAGAACUUAUAGUCGCUAAUGCUCUCAUGUCAAUGUAUUUCAAGUGUGGUUCUGCAGAUUCUCAUAAGGUUUUUGAUUCAAUGGAGGAACGGGACAUAUUUACAUGGAAUUCCUUCAUUACAGGUUGUGCACAACAUGGCCUUGGAAGAGAGGCCAUCAAGAUGUAUAAACAUAUGAGAUCUGCAGGGGUGUUGCCAAAUGAGGUCACUUUUGUGGGGCUUUUAAAUGCAUGCAGCCAUGCUGGUUUGGUAGAUGAAGGUUGGCAAUUUUUCAAGUCAAUGAGCAGGGAUUAUGGACUGACUCCUCUGCUGGAACACUAUGCAUGCAUGGUGGAUCUACUUGGGCGAACUGGUAAUGUGGAAGGAGCUGAACAAUUUAUAUAUGAUAUGCCUAUUGAGCCAGAUGCAGUGAUUUGGAGUGCUCUUCUUGGGGCAUGCAAGAUUCACAAGAAUGCGGAAAUCGGUAGAAGGGCUGCUGAAAGACUCUUUGCUAUUGAGCCAUCAAAUUCUGGCAACUAUGUCAUGUUAUCAAAUAUAUAUUCUUCUCUAGGGAUGUGGGUAGAAGUUGCGGAGGUACGGAGAAUUAUGAAACAACAAGGUGUCACAAAAGAGCCUGGCUGUAGCUGGAUGCAGAGUAGGAACAAAGUGUACUCAUUUGUCACUGGAGAUAAACAGCAUGAGCAAAUUGAAGAGAUAGAAUCUACCCUCCAGGAUUUGUACACUUCAUUAAGGACUGCAGGCUAUGUGCCUGACACUGAAUUUGUUCUCCAUGACAUCGAUGAAGAGCAGAAGGAGAGUUCCCUUCUGUAUCACAGUGAGAAGCUUGCUGUUGCUUAUGGCCUUCUUGUUACACCCCAGGGCAUGCCUAUACAGAUAAUGAAGAACCUUAGGAUAUGUGGUGACUGUCACACUUUCUUCAAGUUUGUGUCACAAGUCACCAAGAGAGAUAUUGACAUUAGGGAUGGAAAUCGGUUUCAUCAUUUUAGGAAUGGAAGUUGUUCAUGUGGUGACUUCUGGUGAUACCCUGUUUUGACUUCUUUUUUUCUGUAAGCCCCAAAGUAGAUACAUUCUGAUGAUUCCAGAUGAGAUGUUGGGUUGCCAUUCAGAAGAUUUUGUUAGAGUUAUAACACACAAAGCAGAGAAGAGUAUACUGACUGACUACAGUAUGUUGCUAUGCUGUGGCCUACAACGAGUUCGUGGAUGCAAUAUUGAGAUAGUCAACAGCCUGUUAAACCCUAGAAGCGCCUGGAUUGGAAUCUGGUAAGUGCUUAAAAUAUAUGCUUAUCCAGUUUGCUUUUCGCUGCAUGUCAAUUAUCAAUCUAUUCAACAGCAAACCUUGUGACCAUUUUGCAUGGUAGCUUAACAAGAGGAAACAAAGGGAAGCUGGAUAGGUGCAGCUGAAAGACUUAAACAACACCUCAUUGCUCGUGCAAGAGCGCGAUGCUGCAUGACAGAUAAACUAUCAAUGUAUAUCAACUGUAUGCAGGCAAGUUGACACUGUUGAUGAAAAGAGACAUUUCCUAUGUCGCCUAAUUCCUGUUCUCUUACCAUGCGUGUUCAGUGUAACGGCCUAGUCUUAGUGUUGUAUAGGAUUCUUUUCUAUCAAUGCAAUGAAACGCAAAGCUUUUGUGUGUUCUCGGGAGGGAAUCCUAUGGCUCGACAAGAGAAGAAAUUGAUACUGAAUUCAUACCUCUUCCUAGGUUGACGCUUGGACAGACAUGCUCUCUACCAAAUGAAACCAUCAGGGCUGUCAAAAGUGUUCUGGGUUGACAAACUAUUGUAGCUUGUCUCGAGCCCAGUUGAGCUGAGAUCGAGCUUGUCUAAAUUAGGCUCGAAUCCGUACUUGUAUAUAAUAUAACAUAUGUAUGUAUUCCAUUUCAAGCCUUACCAGGUGGAACUCGAGCAUAUUGUAAUCUUGGCCUGAGCCCAGUUGAGCUGAGAUCGAGCUUGUGUAGAUUAGGCUCAAAUUCAUACUUGUGUAAUAUACCACAUUAAUGUGCCAGGCCAAGCUCGACCAUAUAUUAUACUCAUAUAUGUGUAUUUACAGAAUAAUUCGGCCUUAGGAGUAGGAGUUGAGGCUGAGCAUGAUCGAGCCUAUAGUAUAGUCAUAUAUGUGUAUUUGUAGAGUUACCGAUCCUUAUCAAAUCAAGCUAGAGUCAAUUCGAGCUUUGAUGAGUUCGACUCUGCUCUAGCUAGUUGGCAGCCCUGGUAUAUGAUAGGCUAGCAACAUCACCAUGAUGUCUGUUUCUCUCAGCAACAUGUAUAUUGUUUAAACAAUGAUGUGGCAUUAAAGAUUUUAAUUGUCUGAAUUGCUUGUACUCAAUUUGAUGUGCUAAUCACCGUUGUCCUUUUUGGUUGUGGCAGGGAACUAUGGCUGAAUGACAGUGAUGUUAUGUGUCAUCUAUCAUGGGUGCUCAUUCUGUUUAUGUCGAAAGGCCUUUAUAUUCUUGUAAACUGAGAGUUUGCAGACCCUACACAUGAUCUGGCUCUGAAGAUAACUUAGACAAGAUUAUCGGUGGAAGCUAACUUUCUGUCUUAUUCACAAGGCUCGCUGACAUCCUAAAUUGCAGCUUUUGUAACUAUAUGGAAGAUUGAAAUCGAUGUGUGACGGUGCUGCAAAUUUAUGCCAAAUCUGUUUCAACCUAUACUCUAGUCAAAUGUAGGAGUUUGUAGGUAACUGACAAAGUAAAUAAACUGGAGCAAAGUAGUUCCUGAAGAUUCUAGUAGUUCUGCAGUGAAAAUCACUACGAAAUUACGAGUGCUACGUAACAUUCUAGCAGUUCUGCACUGAAGAUUCAAGUGCAGUUCUAUAGUCGAAUGUGUAAGGGUGUUCACAAUCCUGCCUGAUUUUGUCCUUCAGUGUCAGUUAAAUAGUACAUAGCAGAGCGCAGAGAUGGUUCGUAAGAUCCAGAGGUGGUUUUCUGGGAGUUUACAACAUGGUGCACCUGGGUUUGGCUACCCUGCUGCUGUGCUGCAUGUGUUGCCAAUUAAAAUGGGAGUCUGAAAAAAAAAAGAGCCCUCAGAGGGUUUGAACGGGAGCAUGACCGCGACCGCGGCCACCGCCGCCCGGAUCGGCCGCUCCGUCCACCUCCGAGCGCCGAACGGGAGUUUACAGAGGAAGUACUACUGAAAACAGAGGCUCGAGUAGAUUAUAUACACACAAGUGGAAAUCUAUAUUCUACUGCCUUGCCUUGUACGGCGGGCUGCUAUCAUAUUGACGCAAAUGGCUUUGUUAUGCAUCGCCACAUGCACACACAUAUAUAUUUUGGACUGAAGGAGCUCCAGACUCUUUUUUUUUUUCAAAACGGAGGCAAAAGUAUUUUAGUAUUCUAAACUUUGUAAACUCCCAGAUGGACUGAAGGAGCUCCAUAAUUGAUGGACUGAAGGACGGAGCGGCCGAUCCGGGCGGCGGUGGCCGCGGUCAUCGGCGCAACCAUCUAAACUUGGGAGAUAUUUUUUAAAGCUUGCCGGCGUCUAGAACUUAUUUCCCAAUGAGAUAAUUGGGCUCCCCGCUCUUCGUUUGGCAAUUGAAGGUGGAUCUUUAAUUUCUCAAGGACAAAGUUGCGAACAAGUUGGUCACUUACGAAGGCUGCGGUCUACUUCAUCACACCUCUAGUUAUUCCAUCAAGUUCCCUACAUAAUGUUAACAAGCUUGAAUGGGUAUUCCAUUGGCCCGUUUCCCAUAGGACGACAGGUGCGAAAUGAGAGGUCAAUUGGGAGGUCGUUUUUCCGGCCACAUGAGUAUGAUGGCUUUGGGGUCCUCAACACCGCCAAGUUCAUGUGUGCUUUGUGCUUGAGAUGGCCUUGAUACGAGUGGAAGGAACCAACCAAAGUGUGGGUUGACACGGGAAUUCCAUGUGACAAGGAGGACCUCAACUUUUUCUAUGCGUCAACAACCAUCGCCAUGGGGAAUGGUACGAAGACCCCCUUGGGUCUCUCCAUGGCUCCUUGGGAGCAACCCAAAGACAUCGCUCCUCUCAUCUUGGAGGCCUCUUUGAGAGAUAUGGAAGGUGCGAGAGACUCAAAAGAACAAUACAUGGAUCCUCAAGAUCAACCCAUCCAUCAUCGUUUCCAUUGAGCACAUCCGCCAAUUAUUUUCCCUUUGGAUGCUCGUUCGCGACUUCCAUCUCGGUGAACACUUCGAGGAGGUCAUUGUGUGGAAGCACACAGUUAGUGGGCACUACUCGGUGACCUCCGCAUACAAGGCUCGGUUCUUAGGCUUGAUUCCCUCUCAUAUGGAGCAAAAUGGUUUGGAAGGUUUGAGCGCCUCCAAAAGUUAACUUCUUUGCUUGGUUGGCGAUCUGAGAUAGGAUUUGGACCAUCAAUAGGUUGGCCAAGCGGGGAUGGACAAAUUGUGGUCUUUGUCUCCUUUGCAAGAAGAAACAAGAACGCAAGGCACAUCUUUUCUUCAAAUGUCAAUACUCUUGAAACUUGAUCAUUAAGAAGCUUCACCUUGCGAACAUGGACACAUCUUAAUGGCCUUUGGAGGGCUUCAUCAAGGAUUGGUGGACAAGUAUAACCGGUGUGGGCAUCCCUCAUCGAAAAGCCAAGGCUUCCGCUUACCAUGCUUGCGUCCUAGACCAUUUUUGAAUGAGAGAAUCGCCUGUAUGUUCCGCCAUAAGAGCUUCCCACGAAAAUCUUGCUCAACAUCAUUAUAAUCAAGGCAAACCUAUGGGUCACCGCGGGUGCGAAGAAACUAGAGUCAAUUGUAUUGCGAGAAUAAUCCCCCAUGUAGUGUCUAUGGGUCAUUUAUAACCAACUCUAUUAUCUUCUUAAAUAGUAAUGGAUAAGGUAAAUUUUAUGCCUCCGUUUCAAGAAAACAAAUAGCAGAAGGCGUCCAACAGGCUGACUAAUCUAAAAAUGGGAACGGUACAUUGUUGGUCACUCGGAAAAUGUUUUUACUAAGGUAUGGAGAACCGUUCCACAGCCAUAUCAUGCAUUCAAGUGCAUUCCGCCCCAGGCAGGCCUCAGCCAGCCAACCAUUUUUUAACAUAGUACAAUCGCAGAUGCUCACACAUACACGCACAAUACUCAUCUCUAUGAAUCUCAUGCACGCAUAGCCCCUAUGAGCACCUUGUAGUGAACGGAAACAUCUCUCCCCUUACUAAACAAACAUUGUCGAGAAGUCUGAAAUAAACUCAGAAAAAUACGAUCAUCAGGGGCGAGUCUAUGACUUAAAACCCCGGUGAGCUAGUUUCAGCCCAAGAGACCUAAACCAUUUUUGAGGUUCACUUCAAGCAGCCAAUUGUCAGUGGUGGAACUGAAGCGAUAACACUGGACGGUUGCACCGACGGCCUCCGAGUCCCCGUCUGGCAGCAGCAGGCAUCCAUCUUUCCAGGGAGACAGAGCUUCAAGGCCCGCGUUAUGCCGCCCAGGUGCAGGCAGCGUUCGUGCUACAACAAAUCUGGCAGAACGAUAAGACUCUUAUCAUAGUACUCCCUCCGCUCCGAAUUACUUGUCUUGGAUUUGUCUAGAUACAGAUUUAUCUAGACUCAGAUUUAUCUAGACUAUCUAGACAAAUCCAAGACAAGUAAUUUGGAACGGAGGGAGUAUAUAGUAAGAGAAAGCACCAGAUCCUGUCGAGUCAAGAGAAAGCGAAAGCGCAGCCGCUGUGCAGAUAGGUGGAAAAACAACGACAGAACGCAAGCUGCAUGCGGCCUCAACUUGGGCGUCAGCCGAGCAAGGGGAGCUCGCCACCUGCGGCUUUCCCGAAGAGCGGUGCACGCAAAGCGACGGCGCCGAAACCAUGGUCGCGGGCUCGCGUGGGCGAGAAGUAUGUGCAAGAGUUGCCUACUUGGGCUGCGGCCGCCAACGUGGCCGCACCCGAUGCCGGCCUUCCCUCUCCUGGUGGCAUGGCAUGGUCAAACCGUGCACCCCGCUCGCCGUUUCCCGGCUAAAAAAACCGCGGCGCUGCGUCCAUUUUCAGAGCUCGGGCCGCCCUGCUGCUGUGGUGAUCGGAUAGGGCUGGGCCGGGCUUGGAUUACGACAUGCGACUCCGCGGUCACCGGAUAAACAAACAAACUAGAGGAUGAGUCCACGAAUCGUUGCUCGGUCCGUACGGCACAUGAGCAGUCAAAAUUCACAAUUGCAACAACAACUCCACAACCUCAAAAAAGUCGCAAGGGAGGGAGGGAUUAGGGGGGAUGUUUCUCUCGUACUACUCCCUUUGCUUGCCCGUCCCCAACGAUGGUGACAACACUGUAAACAUCACUCUUUGUCCACGACAGGCAUCUUUGUCCGUAGCCGAUAGCCAGAGCAUAGAGUGAGGGGAAACCGUCCAUCUCCGUCCCUCUCCCGACCCACCGGGUUCAUGUACACUUACUUGCAUCGACCAUGACAACGGCACGGCUUGAUUGCCCAACUGACUGACUGAUUAAGCACAUAGUAUCACUGAUUAAGCUCAUAGUAUCACUAUCACUAGCUAAGCUUUUUUUUUCUUUUAUGAAAGGGGCCACAUGGCCCUCAUUUUUAUUAUGAAAAUAGGAGUCUGGAUACAGCAAAACGCAACACCACACCGUUUUUUCAUAGACCUCAUGCAUCACCUCACCAGCUAAUGAACAACCUACAUCCUAUACAUAUAACCAUAUCUAUAGGAUGCCAAACCACCCACUACCGGGGAGAGAGAGCAGACUUUUAACAUCUUUAUAAUUUGCACAUCAGCCAAAACAAUAAGCAAGUGAGAAUCCUUAUGACCGUUAGGAGGCCGCGCUCCUGCGACUCCCCCGCUCCCAGCGGCGGGCCGCCGCCGCCGCCUCCUGCCGGCGUCCCAGCUUUGGCCAACCCUCCCCGGCGCCCCCUCCACCACCUUCCACCUCCCCCACCCUCCCUGCCCCUCAGCUACCCCUCGGCCCCCCUCAGGAGGCCAGCUCAACCCUUGGCGCCAAGAUCCGGUGCCGCCGCUUCGUCGAGCCCCCUUCCGCCGCCGCGCGAGGCUCGUGCGCCGCCUCGCCUCCGAAGCUCCGUCGUCGGCUCUCUCAUCCUGGACGUGCCGUCCGCGGUGGUCUGCGACCGCGUUAAUGGCGCGCUGUCUGCCUGGAGGAGCGCGGGCUGUCCUCCAUCUUCGUCCUUCUCGUCGACUGCCCCGAAGGGAAUCCUUCGUUCUGCUUCCUCUUCCAGGACGGCACGCCCGCGGGGCUCGGUGCGCUUCAUCCUCCCAGCCCCCCAUCUCCAAGGCGCUCAAGGCUCAACCUCCCCGCGCCGACAGGAUCCCGCGGGCCCACCGUUUUCUCCUGGGGAAUCGGAACCGGGCUGGACUCUGGUGCGUUCCCGUCGCGCGCGUCGUGAAGCCCGCUUCGAAACACGAAACGCCGCCUCUUCAUUGCUGCGCCGCCGCUCCUCUUCCUCGCGCGGUCAUCAAGGGGGAGGAGAACAGCCAUCCUCCGUGCCUUCAAAAGGCAGACUCCGACUCUGCCACCGCUGCAAGUCCCCCAACCACCUCGUCGCCGUCUGCACGCGGGAACGCCACCCCAAGAGGCCUCCGCGCUCGUUUCUGCAAGCCUCCACCCCGAGCCCGACGCCUCUCAACCCUCCGGCCCCGCCGGCCGCCGUCUGCGCGGCUGCUGAGAUGGACGGCGUUGGACUGGGCGACCCGUCGCUCCGCACAGAGGAAGAUACGUGCUACAUCGCCACCUCCUACGACCUCGACCGCGCUCGGCUGGACUGGGAAAGCUCGGCCAUCGUGGCUUGGACGCUCUCUGCACCGUCGGGGGCCGAUCGCUCCGACGUUGAAGACGUCUUCUGCAGGAAGUACCGUCUCCGUCCCUCGGAGUUGGUGGUGAGCUCCCACUUCCCCGAGCAGUACAUCGUCAAAUUUUCCUCCGCCGAGCUCCGCGACCGGGUGAUGCGCACCGAAAGAUGCUGCUUCAAGCUUGAUGGGCUCGACGUCCACUUCCGGCCAUGGCGUGCGGUCUCGCACGGCUACAACGCUGACCUCCACUACCGCGCCCAUGUGUUGGUGGACGGCCUGCUGCCGUUCGCUUGGCGCCCGGAAAUCGUGGACCAACUUGUGGGGCGGAACUGCGCGGUGCAACGGUUCGACGACGGCUUCACCACGAUGGAGGUCACCUCAUCGUUCGGUAUGUGGGUCUGGACGCCGUCCCCGCGCCGCAUCGCCAAGGCCAUGUGGUGCACCUUCGUCAACAAAGCGCCUUGCGGCCUCUCUUCAAGGAUUCGCAUCGACGAGGACAGGCCGGACCAGUGGAAGAGGGGCAUGACCUUCCGGGUACUUCUCCACAUCGACCGCAUCGAGGAUUUCAACGGCGCACCGGUGCUUGAUGGUGACGCCCCUAUCUCGGACUUCAGGCCGCGAGUGCACGCCCUCCCGCCUUGCCACCUGGGCACCAUAGAUGGCAUGCCAGUGGAUGCGGGCGCCGGCUCCGUCCUCCCGGCGGCGAUCCCACCACUCGGUGACCUCCGCCCGCGCGACAAGGACGCCCGCGACCAGAAGGACCUGGGAAGGUUUCAAGCCAGGCGCGGCGACUCUCGACGCUCCCGCUCAAGACCUGCGCCUGAGGGGUCGCGCCGCUCCCGCUCUCGACCCGCGGACGGUACGGAGGCGCGCCGCUCCCGCUCUCGGCCUGCGGACGGUGUGGAGGUGCGCCGCUCCCGUUCGCGGGGCUACGUUGGCCAUGACAACUCCAGACGCUCCCGUUCACGCAGCCGCGAGGAACGCCGCCGCAGCCGAUCCCGCGCUGGACGACGCUGUGAUGAUCGCAGGCCAACCACACGCCAUCCACAUGACGAUGAUGGUGACGCUGACCGCCAUUCUCCUCGCCACGCUCGGGAUAGGUCGCGCGCAAGAGACUCCGGCCGGCGCGCACCCCUGGACAACCGUCGAUGCAGCCAUGGACACCAUCGCUCCUCUCGCCACCACAACAGCGAGCGCGGGCACCGCAGCUACAACCAGAAGGACGCGCCCCCGGCUGUAGCCACGCCCCCAGCCCUGGCUUCCGUCCUGGUGCAGCUCCAGCAUUCAGUUUCUGCUGCUCCUGAGACCGCGCUGCAUUCCGCCACCAUGAAACCUCUACAGCCGAUGACGCCUACCACUCCCUCCGCGGCGCCCACCGUCUUCGCGCCGGGACAGCUGCUGGCUGCACAGUGGGCUUUGGGAGCGUCCCCGAACUCGCCUAUGCUGACCUCGCUCGGUCGCGCCUCGCCGCAUCAGGAGCCGUGCCGGGACUGGUCCCUGGCCAUCAAAGGCGUACCUGACGUCCUGAAUUCGAAGCUCGCUUCGCUGCCAUCCUCGGUUGAGGCUGCCCCACAGAGUACAUGGGAAGAUGAAGCCCCCGUGGAGGAGUGUCCCAUGGCUGCACCCACUUGUCAAGCGUCGCCGCUCUCGCUUCUGCUCCAGCCCCACGUUCCGGAGGUUUGGGACGACGACAUGGAGAAGGUAGCUUCCGAUGCUCUGGGGCAUGAGGUGGCGCUCCUGCCACUUCAUAUGCAAGAGCCAAACGGGCAGCUGGGCCAGGCGGUCGAGGCCCCAUCCGACCCGACCUUGCUGGAGCUGGAGACGCCUUCCACGGAGCUCGAGUCUGCGCCGGCCGAAACGCCUUUUUUGAGCUCGGUGGAAGAUCUCUUCGACAGGCCGCCUGUGCCGCUCCUCCCGCGGCCUGCUGCGAUCACACCACGUCCUCGACCAGCUGUGGCUGUGCCCCCUUCUGAGGCACAUCGCAGCGAGCGCCUUCGUGCUAAGCCGGUGAUGCACGCUAUGGAUAAGGCGAUACAAGUGCUCCUCAACAAAAUGGGCUGUGAUGCCGAAGGUUUGCCUCUGAUUCAAGCUAGGGAGAAGUACAUCAGCAAGUUCAAGACUCAGCUGCCAGACAAGACCAUUGAAGGUCUAGCUAUGCUUUUUAAGCUGAACGUUCGUAGCAUCAUGGAUGCGGAUAAUGCGCUGAUCGCCAUGGGCGGUGCGGGUGGAGCUGAUUCUAGCCUUCAGAAAGACUUUGCUUAGAUGGAGACCAGGUUAUGGUUUCGUGGUUCGAUGGCCCCUAGUUUUGGCAUGUUUGUCUCAGUCUUGAUGUUAUGCAAUAGCUUUGGGGGCGGGCAUGUCACCCCCGUUUUCAUCUACUAUCUGGCUUUCUUUUCUGAGCUGCUAAGAUGAUCGGUCCCAACCUCAACGUGGCUGACUGGAACGUUCGAGGCCUGAACGACCAAGCUCGCAAAGACACGGUCCACGCCUUUCUGUCAGACACUCCCUGCCAUAUCGCGUGUCUUCAAGAGACCAAACUUGAUUUCAUAGAUCAGCAAACUGCGGCCUACAUUGGUGGUUUUAAGCUCAGAUCUUUCGCUCACAAGCCAGCUGUUGGCACACGAGGUGGUAUUCUUCUUCUCUGGAAUGAAGAUCAAGUCUCUGUUACAAACGUUCACAUUGGCAGCUUUUUGAUCUCCGCCCAGAUCACCAUCCGUGAGUGCAGCACCUCUUUUCUCCUCACCACAGUAUAUGGCCCUAGCGUUGACACAGAUAAAGGAGCUUUUCUUGCCGAAAUCAUCGCCACUGCUCCCAACAACGAUCAGAAAUGGCUCAUCCUUGGUGACUUUAACCUCAUCCUUCAAGCGGAAGACAAGAACAAUGAUAAGCUGAAUCUUCGUCUCAUGGGCCAGUUCAGGCGUGCUCUGAAUACUUGCCAUCUCAAGGAGAUAAAACUACAGAACAGGAAGUUCACCUGGAGCAAUGAAAGGGAGAACCCCACUCUCGAGAGGCUGGACCGCGCUUUUUGCAACCCGAGCUGGGAUUUGACUUUCGAAAGUCAUGUCUUGCACGCUCUUUCAUCAUCCUUGUCGGACCACUGCCCCCUCCUCCUUUCCAACCAGAGUGGGCCCCGUAAACCUGCGACUUUCCGUUUUGAAACCUUCUGGACUAAAAUGCCGGGUUUCCAAGAGACGGUUCUACAGGCAUGGUCAGCGCCCUCUUCUCACACUCAGCCGGUGCACGUAAUCAACCACAAGCUCAAGACCACCGCGCUCAGCUUGCGAUCCUGGAGCAGGGGUCUCUUCUCUAACUGCAAGCUUCAGCACUCCAUGGCUCUGGAGGUCAUUCUCCAGUUAGAUGUCGCCCAGGAUUCUCGCCCCCUGUCCACGGAAGAGAGGGCCCUCCGUGCUGGCCUUAAAAGACGGAUUCUAGGGUUGGUGGCCUUGGAACGCUCUAGAAAACGUCAGGCCUCCAGAAUCAACUAUCUUCGCGAUGGAGACGCCAACACAAAGUUCUUUCAUCUGCGGAUUAACUCGAGGAAACGCAAGAACCAUAUCCAAAGGCUCAAACAUAAUGAUGGUUGGCUGACAACACAUGAAGAUAAGGAGAACGUCAUUCUCGAACACUUCUCCAAGACCUUGGGUCGCCCUCCCCUCCGGCAGCUAGACUUCAAUUGGAUGGUCGUUGAUCCUAGCACCCAUGCUUUGGAAGAUCUCGACCUCCCCUUCUCUGAGUUGGAAAUUAAGGAGGCGAUCGAUGAUAUGCCUUCAGAAAAGGCCCCCGGCCCCGAUGGAUUUUCCAUUGCUUUCUUUCAAUCAUGCUGGGAUAUUGUCAAAGAUGAUCUCAUGAGGGCCAUCACUUCUUUCUCCGAGCAGUCAGCUUCUAAUUUCGCCAUCCUCAACACAGCUAACAUCGUCCUCAUUCCAAAGAAGGACGGUGCGGAAGCCAUCACGGAUUUCAGGCCAAUAAGCCUCAUCCACGUGGUCCCGAAGAUUAUCGCUAAAGCUAUGGCUCGCCGGCUCGGUCCGAAGAUGGAUGCUAUUGUUUCUCGCUGCCAAAGUGCCUUCAUCAAAACAAGAACCAUACAUGACAACUUUAUGUAUGUCAGAAACACCGCUCGCAGUCUCCAUCGCAGCAAAACUCCAGCUCUCCUCAUAAAGCUGGACAUUGCCAAAGCUUUCGACACAGUUCGCUGGGACUAUCUACUCGACCUUCUGCGCCGUCUCGGCUUUCCUCCUAGAUGGCGUGCUCUACUAUCCAGCCUCUUCUCCUCGGCCACGUCUAGAGUAAUCCUUAACGGUAUCCCCGGUAAGGACUUUGCUCACGGCCAAGGACUUCGCCAAGGAGACCCGCUAUCCCCCCUGCUUUUCGAUAUCGCCAUCGACCCGCUGCAACAAAUUCUGGAUAAAGCAACUGCGUCUGGUUUGAUGAGCGAAAGUCCUGGAGGUUCACAACAUCCUCGGAUCUCUCUUUACGCUGAUGAUGCUGCCAUCUUCAUUGCCCCUUCGGUGCAGGAUAUAUCCUGCCUGGCAAAUAUUCUUCAAGGCUUCGGGGAGGUUACGGGCAUGGUGACCAAUGUGGCUAAGAGCUCUAUUGCCCCAAUUCGCUGCUCCGAUGUUGACCUCACCGCAGUUCUGGCAAACUUCUCGGCGGCUAUCACCCAGUUCCCUCUCAAGUAUUUGGUUGCCCUUGUCGCUUGGUAGACUCAGAAGGACCGACCUUCAGCCAUACAUUGAUAAAGCUGCGUCAAGGUUGAACCCUCUGAAAGGAAGAUUCCUAAAUCGGGCGGGGUGCUGCACUUAUGUGAAAUCUGUCCUUUCUUCCAUGCCGAUCUUCCUCCUGACUGCUAUCAAAGUGGAUAAAGGCUUCCUAAGGGCUAUGGCCAAGAUCUGUUGCGGUAUGCUAUGGGACUGCAAGGAAUCUGUCAGCGGUGGGAAAUGCAAGGUCAACUGGCAGAAGGUCUGCCGCCCUAAGGAGCUUGGUGGAUUGGGGAUCCUAGAUUUGGAAAGGUUCUCCCGCGCCCUUAGACUUCGCUGGCUUUGGGACGAAUGGAAGGCUCCUGAAAAACCUUGGGUAGGUUUUGAAACUCCUAACGAUGCCUCAGAUAGACAGCUCUUCAACGCCGCGACUCGUGUUACUAUCGGGGAUGGCAAGAAGGCCUCCUUUUGGUCUUCCUCAUGGCUUGACGGCAAGCCACCGAAAGAUAUGGCACCUCUGAUCUUCAAAGCUUCGAGGAGGAAAAACCGAACGGUCCAUGAUGCCCUUACUGACCAUACCUGGGUAGCGGAUAUUGCGGUGGAGGCCUUCACGGCAGAGCACAUUGGCCAGUUCGUCCAGCUAUGGGAUCUCAUCUCAGAUAUCCAGCUCUCCCCAGAUAUAGAAGAUUCCAUCAUCUGGACCCUCUCCCCAAAUGGAUGCUACUCUGCGAGCUCCGCCUAUAAGGCGCAGUUCAUGACCGCGCUGCCUUGCUCCUUCGGCUCGAUUGUCUGGAAAACGUGGGCGCCUCCCAAAUGCCGCUUCUUCGCUUGGCUCGCCGUCCAAAAUCGCCUCUGGACCGCGGAUCGCCUGGCCAAACGUGGAUGGCCACACCAGCCCUCCUGCCAGCUAUGCCGGUGCUCCCCUGAGACGGCGAGACACAUGCUCUUUGAAUGCCGUUACUCCAAGAGGAUCUGGUCCGCGGCGGCAUCCUGGCUCUCCUGCCCAGAAUUACUGCUUAGCAUGGGCUCUGGUCGCCCCAAGGUGGUGGACUACUGGCAGGCCUUAGCUAGGUCGCCCUCUUCCUCUCCCAAAGGUCUAAAAACGGCUAUCAUGCUCAUCACCUGGGAAAUCUGGAAGGAAAGAAAUGAGAGAGUCUUCAACAAGAAAUCCUCUCUGCCGGUGGUGGUCAUGCACAAGAUAAGAGAGGUAGCAAAAGAUUGGAUUCUAGCGGGAGCAAAAAACCUGGCGGAUCUUGUGGGCUGAUCUGUUUGUUGUUUUUGCUUUUUCCUUUUCCUUUGGGAUGGCCUAAACCAUUCCCACCUUGCUGUUGUUCUUGCUCCUUCUUUAUCAAUAUAAGGCAAAGCUUUUGCCUCGUUUCAAAAAAAAACAAAACAAUAAGCAAGUCUACAACCUAAACGCACUGCAGAGCCGCCCGAUUUUUCACGUAGAGACAAAGCACGGUCUUUGAGCAGAAGGAUUUCACUCAUACGCUCUUUUGUAGGCUUCGUUUGCUACUCGAGACAGCCUCUUGGAAACCUCUCUAAGCAUUUUUUUUGCACUCCUUUUCUCUGCAGAAUCACCCAUGAAUCCAAAAAAGAACACAAAGUAAAUAUUAAAUUGAUAGGAUUUGAAAGGAAAACACAUGGAAAACAUGAUACGUUCCUUGUUUUCCAAAUUGUCCGGAUCAAAGCAGCAGCAGCAAUAGAAAAAACAUUCCUAUCCUUACCAGAAUAGGAUGGUAUCUAGUUUUGACAAAGAUCAAAGAAAGAUAAAGGUAAUUUUGGGUUACCCAGCAAACCACAAAUCACAUUCCAUAAAAACCUAGCAAAAGAGUAUGAAAAGAAUAGACGAUCAAUGCCCUCAGAGACACCGGCAAAACUCGCAAAAAUUUAAUCCUUUCCACCCUCGUCUAGAUAAGUUAUCCUUCGUUAGGAUCCUCCCUUUGAUCACUAAGCAUAUAAACACUUUUACCUUUGAGGCAUUCUCAACCUCCAAAGAAGUUUAAAAGGAAAAGCAACAACUCUAGCUAUAAGGCAAUGAUAAAAGCGGCUUAUCCGAGAAAGAUCCAGAUUUAGUUAAAAGCCAUUUAACUUUGUGAGGCUCCUUCGACAGAGUAACCUGACUACUCAUAUCGAGUAAUUCAUUCCACAUCGUAAGAGUUUCUCCAUAAAGACAUCUCGUGAAUCUAAUACAAUCAAAAUCCUAGUUAAAGACUUUAGCAACAGUAACAUGCAACCCUACACUUUGAUUAUAUAGAGGGGGGCAAGCCCCCCCCCCCCUCCAUUAUGCACCUCAAUUGUAUACCAAACUGAUGGAUUGUUAAGCUCUCUUUUCUUUCGAGAAGACUCCUUCGCGCUUGGCCGCUCCAGCGAGCGAAGCCAACCCAAGGCAAGUCAUCAACCGACUAGAAUUUCCAUAAGGGCCCACCACGUGAGCCGCCCCUAACUAAUCAUGUAUUUAAGUCACUUUCCAAAUCAAGCCUGUCUGAAAACGAGCGUUAACACCGCGUGUAAACGAGCGUUAACACCGCACACGCGAGAUAGCAUCCCCCCUUUUCUUUUGUACAAGAGGCUUUCCCAUUCCUCUCUUAACUCCCAUGCCUUUGAGCCAAUCAAUAGAAUUUAUGUCCCACAGAUCAUAAACUUGCAUUCUUCACCCGUUUUCAUUCCACAAAAGAAAAACCCUUGGUACCAUGUGACCUCAUUCGAGUACAAGUUAGAAGUUAGAAUUGAUUGAGGCUUACUAGUAGCGGACGAGACGGUGAACAUGCCCUCAAGGGCCAAGGCAAGUUCUUCGUACGAGCCAUGCACUUGAGAUCCACCUUCCUGCCCACGGCCUAUCCAUCAAUUUGCACCUUCACCCGUUGCGCCUUCUUCCCCUGAACCUUGUGCGAGUCGGAUUCAUUGGUGAGGACCUUGUUGGAUUCGGGGUCCAAAGAACUGUCUCUCGCCUGGCCCAACACUGAAGACCUUGUUCCCUUGUUGUCUCAAGAAUGUCUCUCCCGUUCCCUUGUUGUCUCCAGAAUGUCUCUCCCUUCUUCCUGAAUCUUUCUAUGGGUGGCCACGUUGAAAUGUGAUAUCUCUGUAUUUAUUACCUACUGAUUCUCCUAUUAUCUCUAGCCUUGUAUAGCUGAUUCCUAGAGAUAUUGUAGGGGCUAGUUGGCUUGUCAUGCAAGACACCACCUGUAUAUAUUGUAACCAACUCCGAUGAAUACAAUUGAGUUGCAUCCUAUAGUCUUCUACAUGGUAUCAGUUUUCUACCGAUCUCCAUCGCUUCCGCCCUAGGCCGCAGCCGCGUCUCACGCCGCUGCCGCCGCACCAAACCCUAACCCUCCCACGCCGCUGCCGCCGCUUUCUCCCAAGCAUCCGCCGCACUAAACCCUAACCCUCCCACACCGCCGCUGCCGCUUCUUCCAAGCCGCCACCGCCAAACCCUAGACCCUCCCCAACCUCCCGGCUGCCAUCGUUUUUCCAUCAUCAUGGUGGGAUCCCACUCCUCCCUCGGCAGCUCCACCAUCGUCAUCGCCUUCACCUCCGACCGCCUCAAUGAACUCCCCAUCAAAGACCAUGUUCCUUUCAUCCUUGAUCUUGACUCCCCCUCCUACAACGCUUGGCGCACCUACUUUGCGCUUCUCUUCCGCUCCUACCGUCUUAUUGAGCAUGUUGACGGGAGCGUCGACAUCCGCGAGAUUAAAGACGACGAUGAGUGGCUCGUCGUCGACGGCUGUAUCAUCAAGUGGUUGUUCCUCACGAUCUCACGCGGACUCUUUGAUAUGGUGAACUGCUGCGGCCCGUCCGGGUGUGCCAUCUGGACGCGGCUUUGCGACCUCUUCCUCGACAAUCAGCUUCAGCUCCGUGUGUUCCUCCAAGGGGAGUUUUUCACCAUGCAGGAAAACGAUCUCACGAUCGACGAGUACUGCACCAAGCUGAAAGUUCUCUCCGAUGAGCUUCGCGACAUCGGCAUGGUGAUCGACGACUCGGUCCUCCUCACCAACCUCCUCCGCGGCCUCCACCCCGACCUUGGCUAGUCCGCCGCCAACCUCUCCCUCACCACGCCCUCCUACGCGAAGGCCGUCACCUACCUUCGGACGGAGGAGAAACGUCUCCAUCAAGCGGCUCGGCAAGCGCCGCUCGCCGCGCUUCACGCCGGCAUCGUCGGGGGUCCCGCUGCCCUCCCGCAGCCUCCUCGCGCCCCGGCUCCAUAGCUGCCCGCUGCCCCCGAUCGCGGCCGCCAGAAGAAACAGGGCGGUCGCGACGGGCGGGCCCCCAACGGGGGCUCCCAGCCCUGCCAGGCGGCUGCACCUGCCCCUGCCACGGCCUUGGCGCCCCCGCCUUGGCUCACGAGGUACAACCCAUGGACAGGGCUGGUACAUGCGUACUCCAUGCUCCUGCCGCGGUCGCCUGCUCCGGGCAUCCUCGGCCUUCGUCCGACUCAUCACUAGGCUCUCCUGGCCGCGCCGGGAGGCUCCGGUCCUGGCGGCUCCUCGGCGUACGGCGGGCCUGCGCCCUACGGCGCCGCCAUGCCGCCCCCCUACCACGCCGCCCCCACCGGCUACUCCUAUGACCCGGCGCUCCUAGCCGCCCUCCAUGCCGCCCCUUCCCCAAGCAACUACUCCGGCGGUGGGGAUUGGUACAUGGACACAGGCGCCGCCGCUCAUAUGGCGUCGCACCCCGGUAUCCUCUCUCAUUCCUCUCCAUACCCCUUCUUCUCCCGCAUCGUUGUUGGUGAUGGCUCUACUCUUCCCAUCACUCACCACGGCGCGUCUUCCCUCCCCUUAUCAUCAUCAUAUUUACCUCUUAACAAUGUUCUUGUGUCUCCAUCCUUCAUCAAAAAUUUAUGUUCCGUUCGUUCUCUUACUCGUGAACAUCCUGUUACAAUUGAGUUUGACAAACAUGGUUUUCUGUUAAGGAUGCCCACUCCCGGAAGGUUCUGCACCGAUGUGAUUCUCCCGACGAUCUCUACCCGUGCGGCCCAACGACGAGCCACGGUCCUGUUGCCCUUCACGCCGACGUCUCCCUCUGGCAUGCUCAUCUCGAUCAUCUUGGCGCCCACGUUCUUCAUAAAGUUUUGCGGACUUUUCCGUUUUCAUGUAAUAAAUCAGAGGCACACACUUGUCAUGCGUGUCGCAUAGGAAAACAGGUUUGUUCGCCAUUUUCUUCUUCUUCAUCAAUUGCCACUUUUCCCUUUGAUGUUAUUCACUAUGAUGUUUGGACAUCUCUCGUGCCUAGCAAUUUGGGCUUAUCAUAUUUUGGAUGAUUUCUCUCAUUUCACUUGGACCUUUCCGUUACGCCGCAAAUCCGAUGUCGCCUCAACACUUCAUGCUUUCUAUGCUUAUGUUGCCACCCAUUUUCAUCGCACCAUUGCUCAUCUUCAAAUGGACAACGGGAAUGAAUUUGAUAACUUUGCUAUUCGCACUCUUUUAUCCACUCAUGGCAUUAUUUUUCGUCUUACAUGUGCAUAUACAUCAUAGCAAAACGGUCGUGCCGAACGUGUUCUUCGCACGCUCAAUGCGAGCGUUCACGCUUUGCUCUUCCACGCGCAUAUGCCUGCUCGGUUUUUGGCCCGAUGCUCUUGCCACAACUACACUUCUUCUCAACAUCCGGCCUUGUAAACCCCGGUGAAACUACACCCCUCAUCAUCUCCUAUUUGGUUCACCCCCGUCAUAUGAUGAUCUCUGUGUCUUCGUCUGCCUUUGUUAUCCUAUCACAUCCACGGUGCCGCACAAGUUGGCACCUCACUCUCUUGCCUGCGUUUUUCUUGGGUAUCAACCCAACACCAAAGGCUUUCCGCUGUUAUGACCCAGAGUCCCAUCGUGUGAUCGUGUCUCGGCACAUUUAUUUUGAUGAGCUUGUUUUUCCUUUUCAGCAGGUAUCGACGCGUUCUGCGCCCUCUCUAGACACCCCUCCUCGACGGGUUCGCGGAGCCCUUACGCUCCCUCCAUCCCGUCGCUUGGGCACAUCUGCGACCCCGUCGGACUCCUCGUCCUCGGUCAUGGCCUCGCUGCCCUUGGCGUCCCCCUCGUCGGCUCAGGAGGAGCCGGCCUCCCAGGCCUUGCUGGGCCCUCUCCUCUCGGCUCUGGAGGAGCCAGCCUCCUCAGGACCGGCCCUGCUCCCGGCCUCGCCCCAGGCUGGGCCCUCGGGGGUCUCGUCCCCAACCUCGAUUGGGUCUCCAUGCGUCUCACGAUCCUCCUCGCCGGCUCAGGAGGAGCCGGCCCUCUCAGCUCCGUCGACGCCUUCGUUGUCGUCCCCCGCCGGGCCCUCUGGCGCCUUGCCGGCCACGCCAUCGGCCUCUCCCGCGUCCUCUUCGUCGUCUGAGCCUCCGGUUGUGGCCCCUCGACGCGGUCCACGCCCGCCUCCCCCGCCGCCUCACCACUCCAUGGUGACGCGUGCCAAGGCUGGGGUGCAUCAGCCGAACCCGCGCUACCACAACCUUAGCGUCACAACCAUCUCUCUGGUUCCACGCUCGGUGCGUUCUGCAUUGAGUGAUCCGCAUUGGACCGCCUCUAUGCGCGCUGAGUAUGAUGCUCUUGUCGCCAAUCGGACUUGGACUACGCGUCCUCUUGGAGCGAACGUCAUCUCCGACAAGUGGGUUUUUCGUCACAAAAUCCUCCCGGACGGUUCUCUCGACAGGUACAAGGCUCGCUGGGUUGUGCAUGGCUUUGCACAACGUGUCGGUGUUGACUUCUCCGAGACCUUCUCUCCGGUUGUCAAACCCGCAACGACCCGUGUUGUCCUCCAGCUGGCCGCCUCUCGUCGCUGGCCCGUACAUCAGCUCGACAUCAACAACGCUUUCUUGUAUGGCCAUCUUCAGGAGCGGGUUCUCUGUCAGCAGCCAGCUAGGUUCGUUGACCCUCAGCGUCCGGAUGAUGUCUGCCUGUUGUCACGGUCAUCAUACGGCCUCAAACAAGCCCCGCGCACGUGGUACCAGCGCAUCGCGGCGUUCCUCGGUCUUCUCGGGUUUUGCAGCACCACCUCUGACACGUCAUUGUUCGUGCUCCAUCGGUCUGAUCAUGUGGCUAUGCUUUUGCUCUACGUCGAUGAUAUUGUCAUCACUGCUUCCCGAGAGGAUCUUCUUCGCGACAUCAUUGGUCGUCUUGGCUCUAAGUUUCGGCUGAAGGACCUAGACGUGUUGCACUUCUUCCUCGGCAUUAAUGUGCGACGUGAUGCCUCUGGGUUCUUCCUUCACCAGGCACAAUACGCUCUUGAUCUUCUGCAUCGUGCCAGCAUGACUGACUGCAAGCCGGCCGCCACGCCUGCCGAGACCAAGCCGAAGCUCGCCGCCACCGCUGGCCAGCCCGCUACUGAUGCCGCCCUCUACCGCAACAUUGUUGGCGCCCUUCAGUACCUUAUGCUCACCAGGCCAGACAUCCAGUUUGUCGUGCAUCAAGUUUUCUUGCAUAUGCACUCGCCUCGUGAUGUUCACUGGUCCUUGGUCAAGCGCAUUCUUCGGUACAUUCGCGACACGCCAACCUACGGUCUUCAUCUCCGCGCCUCCGCCUCGACUGAGCUUCUUGCUUACACUGACGCGGAUUGGGCUGGCUGUCCUGACACUCGACACUCCACGCUUGGUUAUUGUGUCUUCUUCGGUGACUCUCUUGUCUCUUGGUCCUCUAAACGGCAGCCUACCGUCUCCCGUUCGAGUGCCGAGGCCGAGUACCGAGCUGUUGCCAACGUGGUUGCGGAGAUUUGUUGGCUUCGUCACCUUCUUGGUGAGCUUCGGAUUCCACUUCCGAAAGCCAUCGUGGUCUUCUGUGAUAACGUGUCGGCCACCUACCUCGUGGCUAAUCCGGUGCAGCACAAGCGCACCAAACAUAUUGAGGUCGAUGUUCACUUUUUGCGUGAGAAAGUUCAGUUGGGUCAGCUUCGAGUUCUUCAUGUACCGACUACCCAACAGUUCGCCGACAUCAUGACCAACGGGUUGCCAACUGCUGCAUUUCAGGAAUUUCGUUCCAGUCUUUGCACGCUGAGCCGACGCUUCGACGGGGGUUGNNNNNNNNNNNNNNNNNNNNNNNNNNNNNNNNNNNNNNNNNNNNNNNNNNNNNNNNNNNNNNNNNNNNNNNNNNNNNNNNNNNNNNNNNNNNNNNNNNNNNNNNNNNNNNNNNNNNNNNNNNNNNNNNNNNNNNNNNNNNNNNNNNNNNNNNNNNNNNNNNNNNNNNNNNNNNNNNNNNNNNNNNNNNNNNNNNNNNNNNNNNNNNNNNNNNNNNNNNNNNNNNNNNNNNNNNNNNNNNNNNNNNNNNNNNNNNNNNNNNAUUAUCUCUAGCCUUGUAUACCUGAUUCCUGAAGAUAUUGAAGGGAUUAGUUGGCUUGUCACACAAGACACCAACUAUAUAUAUUAUAACAGACUCCGAUGAAUACAAUUGAAUUGCAUCAUAUAGUCUUCUACGGGCCAUCCCACCACACUACCUCCAACUCCCCCAAAACAAACAUCGUUGUAUAGGUUGACUAUAUCAGAAACACUCUUAUAUUCCCGCAAAAAGAAAAAGAAACACUCUUAUAUUAUGGGACGGAUGGAGUAUAAUUUAGAAUUGUUUGAUUUUAAAUUCAAAUUCGUUUGAAUAAUUCAUGCGAAAAACCCUUGAUGGCGUGAGUGAGUGAGUGCCUGUUUAUCACUAUAGUUUGAAUAAUUCGGGCGAAAAACCCUCCACAAUUCUGAUUAUCCCUAGCUAUGAUGGAUUGUUAAGCUCUCUUCUUUCUAGUAAGCUCUUCUCUUUUGGUAAAAGUGGCUUUCCUCCGAUUUUUUCAUAUAAAAAGUCGAAGAAUUCAAGCAAGCUGCGACCGACUGACUGAGCGUGAGUGCUUGACCGAAAGGAAAAAGAAGGGGCCAGAAUGCCAGAUAGCUCACAUAGGAAAGAGACCCAUCCUCACAAGUCAAGAGCCGAUCCUUGCAGAAUCUAACUAAUCAACAAAGUCAAGCACAUAGAUAAUUAGUGGCACACAGAUUUGAGACACCGCUAGCUGCACUUGAAGUAGUACAUCAAAUCAAAUGAUAUUAUAUAUCACGAAACAGGGGGAGGCUACUAAGCCCAUUACAACCAUUUAGUUCCAAGUAAUCCAAAACCGUUGCUGGUCUCGGACAAAAAACAGGCACUCACACACGAACGCCACGCUUAAUAGUUUUACAAUUCUUUGCUGUAUUCAGCUUGCACCAUACGCGCUUGUUUAUCUACAGAAGAAUGAUGCAUCCGGUUCCGCGAAUGGUAGAAUUAAUAGGUUGCUUACUAUAAUAGGAGUAAUUAAUUAAUUACUGAAGCUGCUGUCCGUCUUGCUUGCUGCCGGGGCACGAGGAGUGCUGCUGGUGGGGCUUCGGUGUCUUGAUUGAUCAC
rnacentral:lncRNA from 1 species